rnacentral:lncRNA from 1 species
AUUAAUUUAUAAGAAAUGAGAUAUAAAUGAGUGGAGAAAUUGCAACUCAUCAAUACCAACUGCUGCUUUGAUGCAUAACUGGAACCCUGAGCUCUCGGAGAGUUGUAUUUGUUGUAACAAUCCUAAAAGGGAAAUAAUUGGUCACCUUUUUCUUAGAGGUGAGACUGUUGUAAGGGUGUGGGAUCAUUACUGUGUAGGUGUUGGAAUAAGGGAGCAUAUAUUAAAUAUAAAAUAAAGUGUUAGGAUGUGGAGGAAACAAAGUGGAAACUAUAAACUGAAAGUUGUAUACACUGUGAUGAUAAGUUGCAGUCAUACAAAAUACCUAGUUCUUUUGAGAAGAUUAGAUGGAUUCCUCUUGAGUGGUUGGCUAAAAGGCAAUAUUGAUGGUGCAUCUAAGGUAAUCUUGGUCCUAGUUCUAUUUCAUUUUGCAUUAGGGAUCAAAAUGGUGAUCUAGUAGUAGCUCAAGGUAAAUGAAUAAAAGAAACCACUAGUUUGGAGACAAAAGCAAUAGCUAUUAGGGAGUGCCUAAAGUAUUGUAGACUGAAUUCUUUUUCUCAAAUCAUACUGGAAAGUGACUCUUGGACCAUGGUGCAAAUUAUGAAUACACCGUGGGAGGUCCCUUAGAGUGUGGCAAUAGUGGUUAAAUCCAUUAAAGCAAUAAUGGAAACUAUGUCAGUUAAGUGGUACAUUUCCUUAGAAAAGGUAACACUCGAGCUGAUUUUUUUGCUAACCUAGUUUUUAAAUUUUGCAGGUGAUUUUCAAUAUAAUAAUGUGGAACAAGUGCCAGAGAAAGGAAGAGCUAUAAUUGAACUAAACAAAAUGUGAAUCCCAAACAUUAGACGGAUUAGUCAUACAGAAGAAAGACACUAACAGGUACAACAAGCAGCAAGUAAAGGACAUGGUCAACAGUCACAACAAAAUUAAAAUUGAAACAAAUAAAACUGACUGGAAAAUGAGUCAAUCAGAUAUGCAAACAUAUGAAAAAAUGUGAAGUAGAACCUGGAAUUACAGGUAUUAAUAGAUAUCAGCAUACAUCCCGGUAGCUUGAAAUUUUGAGAAUCCAUGAGCAAUCCAGAGUAGAGUAAGGACAGAGGUGUCAAUAGAUUAUGCAAUAUAUAUAUAUAUAUAUACACACACACACAUAUAUACAUAUACAUACAUACAUACAUACAUACAUAUAUAUAUAUAUAUAUAUAAGGAUUAACUGUGGAAAUGAGCAAACCUAUUAUUGGAAAUGAUUUUCUUUGAAUACAAUACCUACAUCCAGUGAGAUUUUAAGAUGUUGAAAGUCGGAGUAUUCAAACAGUAGGCAAAUCAGAUCUAAACAUGAAAUCCCUAGAUAUAAAUAGAAAUAAUCUAUAGCACUAAAUAUAACGCAAUACUCAAACCUUAGUUCUCUUAAAUCUAAUUGAUAGUGGGGGCGGGGGUAUCACCUUCCAUUGAAGCUUAAUCCACUGAACUAAGAUGGGAUGAAAGGGAGCUAAAGGUUAGAGACACAACUUUAAAUGGCAAGGGGGAUGAUAUGGAGCCAAACGUUGCCGGGACAGAGCAGCCACCAAAAUCGGAGCUUCGACAGUAUCGAGAAGCUAAACAGACACAAAGAGGCAAAGAGGCGGAGCUGUAGUUUCCUAAUAUGCUAAUGGUUGUUGUUGCAUAUUUGUUGAUGUUGGAUCCAUGUCAAGCCACUUUUGGGCCUGACUUGUCUCAACGUAAGCUCUGAUUUGGUUAUUUUUGUUUAAUAAAAUGGGCUUCCAUUUCCGACUUUGAUUAAAAAAAUUCUUUAGUUGUUUCCGUAUUAAAUGUUUGUAUUCUUAAUUAUCGUUAAAUUAGUACUCGGAGUUAUUUUCUUGCUACCUUUCUCUACUUAUCGAUUUUUAUUUAUCUAAAAUAAUUAAAAUAUAUUAUGGAUGCUUAAUCACUUAGGUAUUUUAUAAAAUAAUUGACCUUUGUUUAUUACGUAAGAUUCCCAUGUAAUAUAUGAAUUCCCAUUGUUUAUCGAGAGGUGCUUAACACACUCCUUUCGAGGAAAUUUGAAUUCUUACCCGAAUUUCUAAUGGCUUAGACUAAAUAAUAAUAAAAUAAGUUCAUAAUUAGUUUAGAAUAGUAAUAAUAAUAAAAUAAGUUCAUAAUUAGUUUAGAAUGAUGCCCUAAUGCACCUUAAUUUGUAAUUAGGUGGCAACUCUUCUCUUUAAACCAUCUAAAAAAGUUGUCAGGUCGAAUCCGUUUUUUGCAAAAAAAAUGGGGCGAGACAUGUUUCACACUUAAUGCGGUAGAGAUUCCCUACAACUUCUAUCAUUGCCCCUUAUGAUGAAAGUUGGGUCAUGUACAUUGUUCGGAAUUCUCUUGUUACCUGUUUAGAUUAGGUCCUUGGAUAAUGUAUCUAUUUGUGAUUAAAGAUUUGUAAACUAGUUGUAAAGAAAAAAUUAUUUGUUUCUUAAAUGACUUCUUCAUGGUUUCAAUUAGAUAGUAAGAAUUCUCCUAUUUAGAUGGAUUAAAGUAUAUGUCCACACGUUCCAAUUAGUUGGAUCGUGACAAUAUCCACAUUUGUGACUUAUUUUAAAUAUAAGUUUGAAAAGUCUUUAUUUCUUUUUUACAUUCAUGAUAAGUCAAAUUAACUAAUAUAAAUUGAUAUGAAGUAAAUAUGAAAAUUUCUAAUCCAAACUUAGUUUGUCAUUCUCACUAUCUAAUAAAAAAGUUGCAUUGGGUAUUAAACUCUCUUCCUUCUCGAUAUAAAGAAUUCAGUCAAAUUUUUCUUACAUUGAACCAUUCUUCUAUCAUAUAUAUAUAUAUAUACUCUAAGGGGUCGUUUGAUAGAGUGUAUAAGAACAAUGUAAAAUAUAGUGUAUUAGUAAUGCUUGCAUUAGUAAUACUUGUAUUAGUUAUGCAUGUAUUAUUUCUUAUACAUUGUUCGGUUUGAUGCAUAAGAAAUAAUACAUCUUACAUAAUUUCUAUAAAAGAAAUUUUUGUUUACAAAAAUACCCUUCUUUGAUUUUGUACACUUUUUUACAACAAAAUUCUUUUGUUCUUUCAAACAUAAUUAGCAUUGUUGAAUUAUUAUAUAAAGGUUUAGGAUUAAUUGCAAGACCUUCGUUUUUGCGCAAAAAUGUUACCCCAGCGGAUUAACAUAGCCGAAACAAAAAUAAAAUACAAGACGUAAAAUUAAGAAAUAGUCUCAAAUUUUUUAAAAAAUCUUUUUAAAGACUCUCGAAGCAAAGCAAAAAUAUGUUAUAGUUAUUUAAAUCAACCAUCCAUUGUUGUAAAUUCAAAUGGAGGAAAAAGAAAUUGUAAAAUGUUUUGAAAAGAUUCACUAUUGCAAAUUAAAGUGGCAGGAAAAGGAAUGGUGAAAUAUUUUGAGAGAGAAAUUGAUGGGUAUUAAGUUCAUUUAAUAAGUUAAUGCAUGUGUUUAAAGUCUUCGUAUUACUAAUACAUAGGAAAUAGAGUGUAUUACUAAUACACACUUCAAUAUACAAUAGAAUGUAUAACUAAUGUCAACAGAUAAAAAAUCGUACCAAACAAAAUACUAACAAUAUACAUUAACUAAUGUAUUAUAUUUUACAAUACACUCUGCUAAACGAUCCCUAAGUCUCUAGGGGCUUUGGGCCACAGGUGACAAAAGAGAUUUAAAAUGAGGUGUAGGUGAAGUCUUGAUAAUUGAGUAGAGGUGACAAUUACUUCAUUAUGGAUUAAGAAAGUUUGGAAAAUUUCAAAAUAACCCACAAGUUUUUAAAUUUACAUUUUGAUCCAAAUGUUUGUAAUACAAUGAGAAAUGAAGGGGAAAAGGCAUAUUUUUUACUCCCCUCAUCCGUUGUUAUUUUCUCUCUCUUCACGAUAUUUGUUGUUCAUUUUUGCUGCUGCUUUAUUCAUCAUCUUUUGAUUCAUUAUCAUCAUCUUAUACUUCAUUAUCAUCUUCAUAUUCUUCUUGUUGACCAUUAUUGUUGUUUGUUGUUGUUGUUGUUGUUACCGUAACUGCUGCUGUUUGACCAAAUUCUUAUAUCAAAUUUUAUUUCAUAAAUCACUUUCAACUUUGGCAUUUACUUGAGAGGAGAAUUUGGUAAGUUAAAUUAUGCUUUUUAGUUGAAUUUGUCAUCUGGGUAACUGCUAGUGUGCUGUUUUUUCAACAAUAGCUAGCACGCGAACAUGAAUACAACAUAAGAGCAAUCUAUUUAAAUAGUUCCAUUAACUGAGGCACCAGAUAAAUGUUCUGUUGUAAAAGUAGACUCAUAUUGGAUUCAUGUUUAUGGUUCUAGAUGCCCGUAAUAUGAAUCGAAUAGAUAGGUAUUCUGUUGCACCAGAUUAGUAAUCUAUUUCAAUAGAUAAAUAAUAUGUUUAACCAGAUUACUAAUCUGUUUCGAACAAUAAAUUACAGCUCCUGUCACAAACCCAAACCUACAGAUAACUCAUAUUUUCUUGCAAUUGAUACUGGAAUCAAAUUAUUCCUUAAUUGUAGACAUGUCAUUCGUUAAGAAAUAUAAAUAGACAACACGAAAAUUAAAUAAGAAAUAAAAAGUUAAGUGCAUCAAACAUAAAUCUUUAUAAAACAAACAAAAAAAAAUACAUAGAUAAAAUUAAAAAAAACUUAAUUAUUAUUAUCAUCAUUGUCAUCAUUAUUAUAUGUAUGGCCAGCCGGCCAAUCUUCAACCGGCAGUAGCAGCGCCCUCCUCAGCCUACGGAUCUCCCGUAGCAUCUUUACUCUGACGGCAGCCAACUCCCAAUACAGGUCAUGAACCUACUUCUGCAGUUCCCGCAUGACGUUUCGUAAAAUAGCGACAUCCCACAUAGGAUCAGUCAUAUCUAGAAAAUGCAUAAGUUGACAAAACACACGUAAAAACAAAAGUAAAGAAAAGAAAGAAUUCGAAUGUAAUGUAUUAUACAACGAAUAUUUACACAAAAAUCAAGAAAAAAACUUACUAGAGACAGGAAAAAGCUAUCAAGUCCUUGAAGAGAAAGUAGUUGAAGGUGUAACAAGAGCAAGGAAUAAAUAGUUUGUAGUAGAACGAACUAUUAAGUAAGGAGGGAUCUAUUUAUAGAGUAUUAAACUUGAAUGAGUUAGGCAAAAAAUCACAGCUGUUCACCUCCAUUUAUUAAUGACAUUCUUGAUUACUGUAAAAAAUUAUGACUUAAUUAAAUUAAGCAAUGCUGUGAUAAGUCAUGAAUUUUCAGCUUUAUUAUUAUUAAAAUAAUUAGUUCUUUCCAGGAACUGUUUUUACACUGAGUUGGACAACAGAUUAUAUAUAUGUUGCAUCAGAUAACUCAUUUGUGACAGCAGAUAUAUAAUCCGUUGCAACAAAUAAAUAACAUGUUGCAUCAGAUAAUAUAUCUGCUGCAACAUAUAAUCUAUAUAUUUUUUUAUAAAAAAAAUUAUCUUCAUGACAUCCAAAUUUGCUAACUUUUUAAUUAUAUAAAUUAAUAAAGCAGAUUGGAAGGCACAACUAUUCACCUCAAUUUAUUAAUGACAUUCUUGAUUACUGUAAAAAGUUAUGACUUAAUUAAAUUAAGCAAUAUUAUGAUAAGUCGUGACUUUUCAGCUUUGUUAUUAUUAAAAUAAUUAGUUCUUUUCAGGAACCAUUUUUUUACACUGAGUUGGACAACAAAUUAUAUAUUUGUUGCAUCAGAUAAAUCAUUUGUUACAGCAGAUAUAUCAGCCAUUGCAUCGAAUAGACAACACAUUGCCUCAGAUAAUAUAUCUGUUGCAACAUAUAAUAUAUAUAUAUAUAUAUAUAUAUAUAUAUUAAAAAAAAUCAUCUUCAUGACACCCAAAUUUUCUAAAUUUUUAAUUAUAUAAAUUAAUAAAGCAGAUUUAAAGGCACAACUGUUCACCUCCAAUUAUUAAUGACAUUCUUGAUUACUGUAAAAAGUUAUGAUUUAAUUAAAUUAAGUAAUAUUAUAAUAAAUCAUGACUUUUCAGCUUUAUUAUUAUUCAAAUAAUUAAUUCUUUCCACAAACCAUUUUUUUUACACUGAGUUGGACAACAGAUAUAUAAUCCGUUGCAACAAAUAGAUAACAUGUUGCAUUAGAAAAUAUAUUUGUUGCAACGUAUAAUCUAUAUAUCUUUUUUUAAAAAAAUUAUCUUCAUGACAUCCAAAUUUUCUAAUUUUCUAAUUAUAUAAAUUAAUAAAGCAGAUUUAAAGGAAUAAUUGUUCACCUCCAUUUAUUAAUGACAUUCUUGAUUACUGUAAAAAGUUAUGACUUAAUUAAAUUAAGCAAUAUUGUGAUAAGUCAUGACUUUUCAGCUUUAUUAUUAUUAAAAUAAUUUAUUUUUUACACUGAGUUGGACAACAAAUUANNNNNNNNNNNNNNNNNNNNNNNNNNNNNNNNNNNNNNNNNNNNNNNNNNNNNNNNNNNNNNNNNNNNNNNNNNNNNNNNNNNNNNNNNNNNNNNNNNNNNNNNNNNNNNNNNNNNNNNNNNNNNNNNNNNNNNNNNNNNNNNNNNNNNNNNNNNNNNNNNNNNNNNNNNNNNNNNNNNNNNNNNNNNNNNNNNNNNNNNNNNNNNNNNNNNNNNNNNNNNNNNNNNNNNNNNNNNNNNNNNNNNNNNNNNNNNNNNNNNNNNNNNNNNNNNNNNNNNNNNNNNNNNNNNNNNNNNNNNNNNNNNNNNNNNNNNNNNNNNNNNNNNNNNNNNNNNNNNNAAAUGACUUAAUUAAAUCAAGCUGGUGAGUUUUAUUAUUGUGACAAGUCAUGACUUUUCUGCUUAUUAAAUUUAAAUAACCUUUUUCUCAAUUUAAAAAUCGAAUACACCUAGUUUUCAAUAACCGUUUCUUUAAUAACCAUUUAUUUUAAUUGAGUUAUGGCAACAACAGAUUGUAUAUCUGUUGCAUCAGAUAAUGUAACGCCCCAAGAACCUAUCCCGAGACGUCACAUGGUGCUCAAGGCCACACAUGGCCUCAAGUUAACCCUCUAAGCUUGUCAUCACUUUCACAACUCAUUAUAGCACAAAUCAUACUAAGAUAAAGAGGAAUAACCAUGUCAUGAACAUACUGAAACAUGAAGUAAUACUACCCUAUACAAACAAAAUACUGAAAUCUCUGUACACGCUGGUACACUAGUCUGACAAAGCCUCUACUACAUAGGACUGAGGAGCCAUUGGGACAGAUCCCCAACUGACUCGUACUGAACUGAAAGUAAACAACCAUUUAUUAACCAAACAAAAUUGGAGACACAGGUCCUCGAACCAUAAGGACUCACCAACUACAAAAAUGUAGAUGAAGGUACUCAAAGAUCACUGUCGCUGCUGAGACUGAGCACCUGAACCUAUAUCAUGAGGAAAUAUAGAGUACAAAAGAGUAUGGGAGUCAGUACUUGGGAAUGUACUAGUAGGUGGGGGUUGAUGCAAUUUAAAUAAUAUCAUAAAUGUAUAAGAAAAUCAUGCAUGCUAACAAUAAUAAAUCUCUUAACUUGAAUUAUUUAAAACAUCAUUUCCGUAAGUCAUUAGUAAUAACAUAUGCUUCAUAAAUCUCAUAAAUCAUUUAACUCAACUCAAACUCUUUGACUAAUGACUUAGAGUGACUCAGUAACUCAUGGUACUUAGAUCAUUCUGGACGCGGGAGUUUCUUAUAACUGACAUAACUACACCAUGUGAGCCGCAUGGACUCCAACGUUUUGCCCUCCUAAGGAGAGAACCCCACAUUAGCGGGGUGUUGUACUCUUGCCAAGAAGUACAACCUCAAUCUCGUUAUCACAAUCCCAUACUCAGCCUCUGCCCCACAAUUAUCAACAUCGAUCCUAAGGUGGCACGUAGUUUCGGGAAAAUACCACAUUUCUCGCUCGGUGCUAAAUACUCCUCCCAGACUCAGCUCAGAACGCGUUAGAAAUCCACCUUAAUCAAUAUUAACUCAUGGGUCUAUCAUAGAGACAAAAAGAUAAAUAUAUCUCAUUUGUAAAUCAUGAACAACUGUGGAUUCCUAACUCGACUCAAAAUCAAAACAAUUUUUCUCAACAUCAAGUACAUUUGCUUUUCGAAUCAUUUUCAAAUAUCAAAAGCUUCAAGGAAACAUCAUAGGACUCAUUUUUGACUUUCAAUCACAAAUAUCGAUAUAUAUUCAAUAGUUAAAUUUCUCAUGGAAAGGCAUAACUCAUGACACUUGUCUUAAAUCGUUUAGAAAGCAUCAAUACGUAAUGACAAUAUACAACUCAUGGAAUAAAUUCUAAAUUUAAGAAACAUGAUUGUGAAAUAAUCAUAAAUAUCAAACUUAUUCAACUCAAAUCUCAUAAAUCAUAAAUAAAUAGGCACAAGAACUAAAGGGGUGUUCUUCUUCAAGCUCCACAUACCUUGGAUUAUGAUUUUAGAGAUGUAGAAACUUGAUAUAAACUUUUUUAUAGCAUUCUUGAGCUAAAUUUCUUGAUGCCUUUAAUUAGGAAAGCUUGAUUCUUGGAUCACUUUGAAUCUCUAUGGAAGAUUCUUGAAUUUUCUUGGAAGAAGAUUGAAUUUUUGGAUUUUGGAAGAAACCCUAAUUUCUAGAUGUUUCUUGGAAGAGGAAAAGAGAAAAAUGAAUGGCUAUUCUCUACUAGGAUAUAUAUAUAAGACCAUAUAGGAUAGAAAUGACCAAAAUUCCCUUUUGAAAAAACUGAAAUUCGCUGAUCGAGGCCUGUGACGGUGGAUCUGACGGUCCGUCAAGUCUCCUGACGGUCCGCCAUAUCGUCCAUCACUCAAGUGCCAAAAUUGGAACAUUCUGCCUUGACGUGACGGUCGAAGUGAUGGUUCAUCAGGAAACUAACGGACCACCAAGUCGUCCGUCACUCGAGGGCCAAAAAUGAGACAUUCUGUCUCGACCUGACGGACCCCUUGACGAUCCGUCAACUUUUUGAAGGAUCACCAUCUUGUCCGUCACACGGUGACCAGGAAGAAGGAUCACUGCCUUGGCUUGAUGGGACACUUGACGGUCCACCAAGGACCUGACGGUCCACCAGGUCGAUCGUUAGACCUGGGCGAUCCAAUAAAGUUUAGUAAAACAGCCAUAACUCCCUCAUCCGAUGUCGAAUUUUUGUGAAAUUGGGUUCGAUGGAAAGCUUAUUCAAUGCUCCACAUGAAAAAAAAAUAGAAAUUAGAGAAAUACAACAUGGUUUAAACAUCAAUCACUUUGGAAGUCAUACAUAUCCACUCAAAAGACGGAUUUAGGCUUAAGAAAUGAUCGGGGUAUUACAAUAUCUCCCCUUUGGAUACAUUCAUCCUCGAAUGUUGCUAGAUAAGCCAAGAACAAGAGAAAAUGAGGACGCCCAGAUGGAAUGACUCACAUUAAAGGGCUCACUAUACUCUAAACUUUUGAGUACUUCACCAAAUGCACGAACCAUAGAGGGAAUAACCAUAUAGCUGAAUACAUUUGAUUAGGAGGAAACUGAAUUAAGGGAAUAGUACCUUCAGCUUGAUUCAAACUCGUGGAUAUAAGAUGAGGGUAACUAGCUCGCAUAUCUACUUCUGUUUCCCAAGUGACACCCUCUACUGAUUGAUUUUGCCAUAGAACUUUAACCAAGGGAACUUCCUUGUUCCUCAGUCUAUGGACUUGAUCCGGGAUUUUAUCAUACAAAAGGCUAUCCUGAACAUCACAACCUUCCGAUGGAUCAAAAACAAUAGAGUAUCCAAUGUGCUUCUUGAGCAUAGAAACAUGAAAAAUAGGAUAGACAGUUAACAAUUCUGCAGGCAACUCCACCUCAUAUGCUGCUUUCCCAACACGAUUCAAAACUCUAUAAGGGCCAACGUAUCUGGGACUCAGCUUUCCUUUCUUUCCAAAUCUUUUCACCCCUUUUAUGGGUGAAAUUUUCAAAUACACCAAAUCAUCGACUUCAAACUCAAGAGCUCUUCUUCUCACAUCUGCAUACGACUUCUGAAGACUCUAGGCUGUCUUUAACCUCUCCAGAAUUAACUUAACUUUCUCCAUAGCCUCAAAUACAGCAUCAGGUCCAAUCACAGCAGCUUCACCCACUUCGAACUAACCUAUGAGCGAUCUACAUCUUCUCUCAUACAAAGCUUCAAAAGAUUCCAUUCCAAUGCUAGCAUGGAAACUAUUAUUGUAAGCAAAUUCAAUCAACGGCAAAUGUUCAUCCCAACUUCCUUUGAAAUCAAGAACACAAGCCCUCAACAUAUCCUCCAAAGUCUGGAUAGUCUUCUCAGCCUGACUAUCUGUCUACGGAUGAAAAACAGAGCUAAGAUAAACUUAGGUGCCAAGACCCUUCUGAAAGUCUCUCUAAAACUGAGAAGUAAACAGAGUACCUCUAUCAGAGAUGAUAGACAAUAGAACUCCAUGCAACCUGACUAACUCUUAAAUAUACAGCUUAGCAUAGUUCUCCGCGGUGAAAGAUGUAUGCACUAGGAGAAAAUGUGCUGACUUAGUCAACCUGUCUACAAUGAUCCAAAUAGAAUCAUGAUGACAACAAGAUAGAGGUCAACUGGUCAUGAAAUCCAUGUUCACCACUUCCUACUUCCAAGAUGGAAUGCUAAAUUCUUGCAUCACGCCACCGGGUCUCUGGUGCUAUAUCUAUACCUGUUGACAAAUUGAACACUUUUCUAAGAACUUUGUUAUAUCCUUUUUCAUACCAUUCCACCAAUAAAUUUCCCAUAAAUCACGGUACAUCUUGGUAGCACCGGGAUGAAUAGAAUACCACGUGCAAUGUGCCUCAGCCAUAAUUCUCUGCCUCAGAUCAUCAACAUCAGGCACACACAAUCUAUUCUGAAAUCUCAAUACACCAUCUCCCCCUUGGGAUAAAACCUUCACCUUUUGGUAUUUGACGGACACUUUCAAUUCAGCCAAAUGAGAAUCCAUAUCCUGUUUCUCUUUCACUUCUGAAACUAGGGAAGAUUCGAAACUACUUUGAACCCAAAUAUUACCCUCAGCCGAGUCAAGUAAUCUAACAACCAACCUAGCCAAAUAAUGUACUUCACAGACUAACUCCCUCUUUUCUCCCACUACAUGCAUCACACUGCCUAUAGACGAUCUGCUAAGGGCAUCUGCCACUACGUUGGCCUUGCCCGAGUGGUACAACACACUCAUAUCAUAAUCCUUCAGUAAUUCUAACCAUCGCCUCUGCCGAAUAUUCAAUUCUCUCUGAGUGAACACAUACUAUAAACUCUUGUGAUCCAUAAAGACAUAAACAUGAACACCAUACAAAUAGUGUCUCCAGAUUUUCAAAGCAAAAACUACUGCAGCUAACUCGAGGUCAUAGGUCGAUAAUUCCUCUCAUGAGGUUUCAACUGCCUGGAGGUAUAGGCUAUAACCUUACCCUUCUGCAUCAACACGCAAUCCAGACCAACUCUUGAAGCAUCACUAUAUACCAUAAAAUCAUCUACACCAUUAGGCAGGGUCAUCACAGGGGCUGAAGUGAGUCGAGUCUUCAACUCCUAAAAACUCUUCUCACAAGAAUCUAACCACUAGAAUUUAACCUUUUUUUGGGUCAACCGGGUCAAAGGAGCAGCAAUGGAAGAGAAACCUUCAACAAAACGACGGUAAUAGCCAGCUAGACCCAAGAAAAUCCUAAUAUCCGAUGGGGAAAUAGAUCUAGGCCAAUUCUUCACAGCUUUUACCUUUUGAGGAUCAACUCGAAUACCAUCAGAAGAAAUAAUAUGACCUAGAAAAGAAACUGACCUUAGCCAGAAUUUACAUUUGCUAAAUUUAGCAAAUAGCUGCAGAUCACUAAGGGUUUGUAAAACAAUUUAAAGAUGAUCUGCAUGGUCAUUUUCACUCUGGGAAUAUACAAGGAUAUCAUCUAUAACCACAAUAACGAACAUAUCUAGGUACGAUCUAAACACCCAAUUCAUGAGGUCCAUAAAAGCUGCCGGGGCAUUCGUUAGUCGAAGGACAUGACCAAGAAUUCAAAAUGACCAUAACGAGUGCAGAAAGCCAUCUUUGGAAUAUCACACUCUCUGACUUUAAGUUGGUGAUAGUCGGAUCUCAAAUUUAUUUUCGAGAAGUAGCUGGCAUUUUACAGCUGAUCAAAUAGGUCAUCAAUUCUAGGAAGAGGGUACUUGUUCUUGACUGUGACCUUGUUAAGCUGACGAUAGUCAAUGCACAUACGCAAUGAACUAUCUUUCUUUUGCACGAAUAGAACGGGUGCACCCCAGGGAGACACGCUGGGCCUUAUAAAACCCCUAUCAAGAAGAUCUUUGAGUUGCUUUUUCAACUCCUUAAGUUCUGCGGGGGCCAUACAAUACAGAGGAAUAGAAAUAGGCUGUGUAUCAGGGAGAAAAUCAAUUUCGAAUUCUAUCUCUCUAUCAGGAGGUAACCAUGGAAGAUCUUCUGGGAAAAUAUCAGGAAACUCAUUGACAAUACUAAGAGACUGAAUAGUUAGAGCCUCAGACUUAGUGUCCUUAACUUGGACUAAAUGAUAGAUACAACCCCUGGAUAUCAAUUUCCUAGCUUUAAGAUAGAAUAUGAAAUGACUUUUGGGAGAUAUAGAAUUUCCAAACCACUCAAAUACUAGCUUAUUGGGAAACUGAAACUUAACUACACGGGUACGGCAGUCUAUAGACGCAUAACAAGAGCGAAGCCAAUAAUGUCAAAAUCAACCAUGUCUAGCUCAAUCAAAUCUGCAAACAUGACUUUGUUAAGAACAGUGAUAGGACACUUUUUAUAUACUCGCUUAGCAACAACAGAUUCACCGACUGGUGUAGAUACUAGAAAAGCUCAGAAAUCUUUUUAGCACUUAUUUCAAAAUUCACAGCCACCAACAGAGACACAUAAGAAAGACUUGACCCAGGGUCCAGCAACGUAUAACACAUACACACCAAAAUAAAAUACGCAGAGCAUACCAGUAACAACAUCUGGUGAAUCCUCCUGCUCCUGGCAGGGUGGUAUAGCAUAAAAGCGAUUCUGCACUGACCACCUGCAGUACUAGAUGAGGCACCCUGAAGAAGAGUAGGACGAACUACAGGGGCUGGAGCACUAAUAGUCUGAUUCUGAGGACGAACAUCGUGACUCCCCUGUCUAGCAUAUGGGCAAUCUCUGAACUUAUGGCCUAACUUACCGCAACUAAAACAACCCCUAUGACCGACUAAGCACUCAUCGAGAUGGUUUCUAUCGUACUUCGGACAUAGGGAAGGACGAGUUCUGUUACUUACACUAUCUUGGGACCUGGACAUAGUAGGCGUAUUACCCUACUCUAGUCUAAUUCUAAAUACAGGAGUACUGGCUGAUGAAGGCACUGGCAUAAGUGAACAACUCUGGAACUAAGGACGGAUCCCUCCAGCAAAUCUAGUCUGACUAUAACUCUAUUGCUCUGAUCUAAUUCUCUUAUUCCCUCUCUCACACUCUCUCUCUCUCCUUCACUUUGUCUAUUUCAAUCUGCUGAGCAUGAAUCAUUAGUCUUGAAAGGUCCAUGUCCCGAUUAAGCAUAGCGGAUCUACUCUCUUUCACAAUAUAACCGGAUACACCGACCAAGAGCUUACUCAUACUAGUUCUAGAAUCAGCCAUCAUACCAGGAGCAUACUUAGAUAACUAUUUAAACUUAUGUCAAUACUCCUUAACUAUCUUGGGGCCCUGUCUCAAGUUCAUAAAUUCUUCUAAUUUUGCUUCCCUCAGCUCUGGGGAAAGAAUCUAUCUAAGAAGGCAUCUUGGAAUAAUUGCCAAGUCACAGGAGUAUCAUUCUCCCCUCUACUUUUCCUUCAAAUCUACACCCAAUCAUAAGAAACAUCUUUCAUUCGAUAGGCAGCCAAUUCAACACUCCCCUCCUCAGUCAUGUGCAUAAUCUUAGUAAUCUUUCUCACUUCAUCUAAACACAUUUGUGGGUCCUCACCUACUUUUGACCCAUAAAACUUAGGUGGAUUCAUUCGCAUAAAGUCACAAACCUGGGUUGCAGCAGAAUUAUUCCCUUACAGAGGUGGAACAAUAGCUUGGGUGUUGGAUUUGGUGUUGGCGGUGACCGCCUGGGCUAGCUCUUGGCAAGUUUCCCAGAAUUCAGUAUGGGACAUCGUCUCACCUAAAAGAUCAAUGGAUUGAGGUCAUUUAUUGUUUCUGCAAUCUCUACGAGGAGGCAUUUUCGGUCAUAAGAGGGCACAAAUUAACAGUAGAGAGAAACAAUCAUAGGCACGAUAGACUCUUGAGCGAAAGAAAUAACUUUUCCUAAAACGUCCUGUAGCCUCUUGCUCAUAGAUGUGGCAUGCUACACACCGAUGAUCAAGAUUCUACGUAAUGCGGCUUGUCAGACUCUCUAGGACUCCUUGAACCUUAGGCUCUAAUACCAAGCUUGUAAUGCGCCAAGAACCUAUCCUGAGACGUCACAUGGUGCUCAAGGCCACGCGUAGCCUAAAGCUAACCCUCUAAGCUUGUCAUCACUUUCAGAACUCAUUAUAGCACAAAUCAUGCUAAGAUAAAGAGGAAUAACCAUGUCAUGAACAUACUGAAACAUGAAGUAAUACUGCCCUAUAUAAACAAAAUACUAAAAUCUCUGUACAUGCUGGUACACUAGUCUGACAAAGCCUCUACUACAUAGGAAUGAGGAGCCAUUGGGAUAGAUCCCCAACUUACUCAUACUGAACUGAAAGUAAACAACCAUUUAUUAACCAAACAAAAUUGGAGACACAGGUCCUCGAACCAUAAGGACUCACCAACUACAAAAAUGUAGAUGAAGGUACUCAAAGAUCACUGUCGCUGCUGAGACUGAGCACCUGAACCUAUAUCAUGAGGAAAUAUAGAGUACAAAAGAGUAUGGGAGUCAGUACUUGGGAAUGUACUGAGUAGGUGGGGGUUGAUGCAAUUUAAAUAAUAUCAUAAAUGUAUAAGAAAAUCAUGCAUGCUAACAAUAAUAAAUCUCUUAACUUGAAUUAUUUAAAACAUCAUUUCCGUAAGUCAUUAGUAAUAACAUAUGCUUCAUAAAUCUCAUAAAUCAUUUAACUCAACUCAAACUCUUUGACUAAUGACUUAGAGUGACUCAGUAACUCAUGGUACUUAGAUCAUUCUGGACGCGGGAGUUUCUUAUAACUGACAUAACUACACCAUGUGAGCCGCAUGGACUCCAACGUUUUGCCCUCCUAAGGAGAGAACCCCACAUUAGCGGGGUGUUGUACUCUUGCCAAGAAGUACAACCUCAAUCUCGUUAUCACAAUCCCAUACUCAGCCUCUGCCCCACAAUUAUCAACAUCGAUCCUAAGGUGGCACGUAGUUUCGGGAAAAUACCACAUUUCUCGCUCGGUGCUAAAUACUCCUCCCAGACUCAGCUCAGAACGCGUUAGAAAUCCACCUUAAUCAAUAUUAACUCAUGGGUCUAUCAUAGAGACAAAAAGAUAAAUAUAUCUCAUUUGUAAAUCAUGAACAACUGUGGAUUCCUAACUCGACUCAAAAUCAAAACAAUUUUUCUCAACAUCAAGUACAUUUGCUUUUCGAAUCAUUUUCAAAUAUCAAAAGCUUCAAGGAAACAUCAUAGGACUCAUUUUUGACUUUCAAUCACAAAUAUCGAUAUAUAUUCAAUAGUUAAAUUUCUCAUGGAAAGGCAUAACUCAUGACACUUGUCUUAAAUCGUUUAGAAAGCAUCAAUACGUAAUGACAAUAUACAACUCAUGGAAUAAAUUCUAAAUUUAAGAAACAUGAUUGUGAAAUAAUCAUAAAUAUCAAACUUAUUCAACUCAAAUCUCAUAAAUCAUAAAUAAAGAAAUUUGGGUGUAAACCCUCUUGCAAAAUCCUAUAAAUCAAUAAUAGAAAGUAAAUCUUUAGGCACAAGAACGAAAGGAGUGUUCUUAUUCAAGCUCCACAUACCUUGGAUUAUGAUUUUAGAGAUGUAGAAACUUGAUAUAAACUUUUUUAUAGCAUUCUUGAGCUAAAUUUCUUGAUGCCUUUAAUUAGGAAAGCUUGAUUCUUGGAUCACUUUGAAUCUCUAUGGAAGAUUCUUGAAUUUUCUUGGAAGAAGAUUGAAUUUUUGGAUUUUGGAAGAAACCCUAAUUUCUAGAUGUUUCUUGGAAGAGGAAAAGAGAAAAAUGAAUGGCUAUUCUCUACUAGGAUAUAUAUAUAUAAGACCAUAUGGGGCGGAAAUGACCAAAAUGCCCUUUUGAAAAAGCUAAAAUUCAUUGAUCGGGGCCUGUGACGGUCGAUCUGACAGUUUGUCAAGUCUCCUGACGGUCCACCAGAUCGUCCGUCACUUGAGUGCCAAAACUGGAACAUUCUGCCUCGACUUGACGGUCAAAGUGAUGGUCCAUCAGGAAAUUGACGGACCACCAAGUAGUCCGUCAAUCGAGGGCUAGAAAUGAGACAUUCUAUCUCGGCCUGAUGAACCCCUUGAUGGUCCGUCAACUUUUUGAUGGUCCACCAUCUUGGCCGUCACAUGGUGACCAGGAAGAGGGGUCACUGCCUUGGAUUGAUGAGACACUUGACGGUCCACCAAGGACCUGAUGGUCCGCCAGGUCGACUGUCAGACCUGGGCGAUCCGAUACAGUUUAGUGAAACGACCAUAACUCCCUCAUCCGAUGUUGGAUUUUGAUAAAAUUAGUAUCGAUGGAAAGCUUAUUCAAUUCUCUAUAUGACAAAAAGUAGAAAUUAGAGAAAUAAAAUAUGUUUUAAACAUCAAUCACUUUGGAAGUCGUACAUAUCCACUCAAAAAAUGGAUUUAGGCUUAAGAAACGAUCGGGGUAUUACAGAUAACUCAUCUGUUUCAACAGAUAUACUAUUCGUUGCUAUAAAUCGACCAUAUAUUUAAGAAUCUUUUUUGAUUUCUUCUACUGAUUCAUCAGUCGCAAUAGAUGAGAAAUUUGAUGCAUCAGCAUCGUUUUUGGUCUUUUUUUGUUGUUGAGUGUGUUUAGACAAAAGUCACAGUCACGACUAUUCAUUCACUUUUUUCUUAAUAAUCAUAUCAUCAUAUAACUUAAUUAAAUUAAUCCAAUGUUGUGACUUUUUAAAAUUAAAUAAUAUUUCUUUUACAAUUAUAAUAUCAUUUAGUUCCUUAUUAUUUAUUAACGAAUCGUUUUUAGGAGAAUUUCUCAUCAUAUGACUUUUCAACACCAUCUAUUGCCACAAGUGCCCAAUCCCUACCUCCAACCAUCGACAUAUUGAGAAUAGGAAAUAAAUGGAAUGAUAAUUAAAUAUUGAAUAAGAAUUAAAAAUUAAAAGUCGACCAAACCAAAUCAAACAUAUGCAUAGAUUUUUUUGAAUCCCUUAUAGGUAGAUCAGAUAUAAAAAAGGAAAAUACAUACGCUAAAAGAAAGAAAAAAACAUAACAUAACUAUUAUUACUACUACUAUUAUUACUAUUAUUAUUACUAUUAUUAUUGUCAAUCUGAUAAUUUUCAUCCAGCAGCAGUUGGGCCCUCUUUAUCCUUGCUCCGAAGUCGGCCAAAUCCCUCUGGGGUUCAUCAAACUGCCUUUGAAGUUCCUGUAAGGACUCAAUAUGAAUCUUCUUAUACGAAUCUGGAUCAGUCAUAUUAGAAUUAUAAGUGUAGUAGAAUGAAUGAGUGAGAGUGUGUGAGAGGAGGCCGGAGGGACCUAUUUAUAAAAUGAUUGAAUUGGAAGUGGGGAUUUGACUUAGUCAAACAAGACUGUUCAUAUCCUUUAAUUAAAUAAAACUGGUGACUUUUCGAAUAUGUAAAUUAAAAAAAUGGAUCUAAAUAAAUACAACAUUUUAUCUUUUUAUUAUAUUUCGGAAAGAGAUAGAUUGGUAAUCUGCUGCAAAAUAUAUUCCACCUGUCAAAUAACUUACAAUAUAUGGACAAUCUGUUGCAACAGAUGGAUAUAUCAGUUUGCUUUUCCAUCAGCUGGCGUCUGUUGCAACUUGCUAGUCAUCUAUUUAUUCAAUUUUAUCGAGAGCAAUAGAUUUUUCUAACUGGACAAACUCAAUUUUUGCUCUUGGAUUGUUUCUCCUUUUUUUUUUUUGCAUCUGUCAAGCUGGCCUCCAAAUUCAAUUUUUGCCAUCUAUCCAAGAGCAAAAAUUUAAUUUGGAGGCCAGCUUGAAGGAUGCAAAGAAAAAAAGAAAAGCUAUCCAAGAGCAAAAAUUGAGUUUGGCCAAAAGGUGUUUAGAAAAAUAUAUAGCUAUAUGAACAGUCGUGGAUUUUUGUUUAACUAAGUCAAGUCCCCACUUCCAACUCAAUUAUUUUGUCACUGUGGUCGUUAAGAUCAGUAUAGAGCUCUUGACCUUUUGUGAGUUUGUCAACGAGGACCACUUUCUUUCUUGGCAGCUUACUUAUAAUACUUCUAUUGGUCCUUCUUAGCUCUACGCAAGGUCUAGGAGAAGUAUGGAAGGUUCUCUUUGAGUUUUUCUAAGGCAAGUGCUCUCUCGACUAAUAAAUCAUGUGCUUCAGCUUAUAUGGAUAGAGCAGCACUCAAUGCAGAACAGUUUUCUGGUAGAAGCAAGUCUUGAGAAGACAUAAUCAGUAAUCUAUCGAUAUCAUCUUUCGUUGUAUCAAGCAGUUCUAUUGAUAUCUUGUCUUCUACGAAGAAGAUUGAUCAGUAGAAAAACCAAGUAAUUGAGAUCAUUUAAUCUGUUGACUAACUCGAGCAAAGACAUCUUCUAGAUUAUCAAACUUUAUAGGGCAGUCUGGUGGUUCAAUAACAUCAGAUGUCUUAUUUUAUGUAUUAGCUAAUGAUGGGGAGAUUCUGCCUUCCUCACCAUCCUGAAAAGAAAAAGCACUCACAAUUAGAUGGAGUAUCUCUACAUAACAACACAAGAUGAACUAAAUCUAUAAUUUAGUUUUUCCUUUCUAUUCCUCCCCUUUUUAUCUUCUCACCUUUUUCAGAUCCAAAAUUUUUCAUUUUCUGGAUACUUGAUAAUGCCUUGGAAAUUGCUUUCUUUCUUCUCUUAGCCUUAAUCUCUAAUAGAGUGAAUAAAACUGAAAUCCUCUUUGAUCUAAUGACACUACUGUUAGAUAUCAAUUCUUUUAUAUCAGCAGUUAAUGCAUUAACAGUAUUAAUCACACCAUCAUAUUUUGCCUUGCACUCUUCACAUUUGCAUGAACAAGAUAAGCAAGGAGGGGAAAGAUUGAUCAUUCCUCUCCCAUAUAGAGGACAAUAUAUCCGUCAUGAAAAAGUCUACACCGUCGCCGGAAAUGCUUGCCACAGCGAAAGUCUGUAGAAGGUAUGAUAAAUAAACAUGAGCAACAUCCGACAUUAAAUCCCAACAAGGUAUCAGAACCAUAUUCAUGGUCCCUCAGCCUUAUCAUUUCAGACCUACCAAACUUAACUGUAAAAUUACAGAUAUCUUAUUUGAAUAAUCUAUGACUAAUCGAUAAAAAUAACAUUCACAAAAUCAGUGUACUCUGUGUGUUUCCACGAUAACAUUAUUAGUAAUACAUACCUCCCACAUAUGAAGUUGUUCCAUCUGCAUUCAGCUUAUUCCUCAGAACUUAUCUUUACUGCAGCCUCUUGUAAUGGUCAGGCAAAAGUUGAUCAACUUUCAGUUCCUUCUAUAUCUACAAAGAAGAAGGAAAAAAUUUAUGUUACAGAAAGAACAUUAUCCAUCUGUUGCAACAGAUGUAGAGUCUGUUGCAUCAUAUGUGGAGUCUGUUGCUUCAGAUGUGGAGUCUGAUGCAAUAGAUGUGGAGUCUAUUGGAAUACCUAGCAGCCUUGCUGGUGGUUUAAUUUGUACCAAGAGUUGCUCCAUAUGUUGCAACAUCAACAACAGCUUAAACUACAAACAACAAUUAAAAAAUAUCAACAACAAAGAAAACAACAACAUUUAUUUUAACAACGUCAUCAACAACAAAGAAAACAACAACAUUUGUUCUAACAACAUCAUCAACAACAAAGAAGCAUACAUCCUAUGUUCCAAUACCAUCAACAACCAGGGACGAACCCACAUGGAGUCCUCUAGGUGCACGAGCACAGACUGAACUCGUAUCGAACUUUAUAUAUGUAUAUGAAAAUUAAGAAAAAACAUAUAUAAUCUUAUCAGUGAGCACCCAUAGUAAGAGUUGUUUGGUUAGCCUAGUUGUUGUUUAUGGGUGCUUAAGGCUAUUUAUUUCUUUUGGUCUUGAGUUCAAUUCCCACUUAGCACAUAUUUUUUAAAUUUUGGUAACCAACUCUUCUCUCCUUAUUCACUUUAAACUUUCUUUUAUUUUUUUCUCUCUUACUUCUUGUGUUGAUUGUUCAAACUCCACUAUUUUUAAGGUAAGAAGAACCCACCAUCUAAAAAAACUGGAUCUACCACUGUCAACUAUACCACACAACAAGUUCCAAUAAUGCUAACCCCACCAACAAUAUCAAUAACAACAUCAAAAAUAAAGAAACAAACAAAAUACAUAAAAAAUGAUACUGCCAACAAGACUUUUAAACUUCUCACAAUAGAUGACUUUUUUUUGCAUCUUGUAAUAAAAAAUCUUGGUUCGUUUAUUCAACAAUUAAAAGUUCCUUCAAAUUUUUUAAAUAAAUAUGAUAUAGAAAAAUGGUAAUCAAAUAAAAAAAAGAUGUAAAUAAUUUGCAAGAAGAAGACGAGAAUGAAAAAGCAAUAGUGAAUCAUAUCUUAAAAGGGGAUCAAAACAAUAAUUUCAGUUAAGGAAUCUAAGAUAUGGAUAUGGAUUGGUUUAGAUCCAAAUGGAAAUUUAUGAGAAAGAGGAGAGAAAAAAAUUAUGAUAACCCUAAAGAGGAUAGAAAGAAAAAAGAUGAGAGACAAAUAAAAUAAAUUUAGGGCUGAAAGAGAGAUGAGAUAAUUCUAAUUUCUAGAUGUACUACCCUUAAUAUUAAAUGACUAAACAAAUGUAUUUAUUAAAAUUUAUAUUUUCAAAGAAUAAUUAAUAAUGCUAAUUUGGUAGUAAAAUAAACCCCUAAUUAAUAUUUUCUUAAUGGAUGUGCCAAGUCAAUAGGGGGCAACUAUAAUAUAAUAUGAAUUGGAAGAUGUGUUAGGGCUUUCAGUAUUCAUUAAUUAAUAUUCAUUAAUAAUUUGAGGGGCAUGAGGAAGAAAAUGGGUGACAUUGAAAAGACAAGACAAGACUAGGACUACUCAAUGAGAUUUUUGAGUUAUCCAAGAAAUAUUUUUUACCGCCUUUAGUAGUACUACUACUUUAUUUACUCGGACAGAAGCUUUCUUUAAAAUUAAAAGAAAAAAAGAGAUUUUCAAAACAGACAUGUCAUCUGUUGCAACAGAUAUAAAUAUCUAUUUGUAAAAUCGCAAUAGCUCAGUCAUCUGUGACAAUAGGUAAAAAUGUUCAUUUGAUAACUAAAUUAGAAAUGUCAUCUGUUACAACUGAUAUCAAUAUCUGUUUAAAAAUUUCCAACAGGUCAGUCAUCCAUCACAACAAAUGCAAAUAUCUAUUUGAUACUUAAAUCAAAUAUGCUAUCUGUUGUAAUGGAUAUUGUUAUCUGUUUGAAAUUAUCCAACAACUCAGUCAUUUGUUGCAAAAGAUUUUAUUGCAAUUGAUUUAGGUGGAACUAGGGAUGAAUGAAUGAGCUCCUCAUUAACUUAAUGUUAAGUUUAAUAAUAGUACCUACAUAGAUCUAGGUGGAACAAGGGAUAAAUGAAUGAGCUCGCAGGGUCAACUACGAAUCCAAUUGAGUUAUUGCAUUUGCUUAGUGUUAGUAUUGCAUUCAUCCAGACCCGAGUCAUCCCUCAAUCACUCUGAGUUAAAAUGAGUUCUCAUUAACUUAGUGAUAAGAUUAAUAAUAGUACCUACAUCGAUCUAGGUGGAACUAGGGAUGAACGAAUAAGCUCAAAGGUUUAGCUACAACUUUAAUUGAGUCUUUUGGUAAUUGCAUGAUGAGAUGGUAUUACGUUCCUCCCGACAAAAGUUAUCGAUCGAUUAUUCUGAGUCGAACCAAUUAUUUCUACCUCAUAUGUUUAACUAAUACCUUAAUUGAAUAAUUUGGGACUAGGGGUGAGUUAUCAUGGGGUCAACUACAACUUCAAUUAAGCCUUUUGGCAAUUGCAUAAUGAGACUGUACUGCGUUCCUCCCGACCAGAGUUGUCGAUCGAUCACUCUAAGCUGAAUCGAUUCUUACUACCUCAUAUGUUUAACUAAUACCUUAAUUUAAUAAGCUGGGACUAGGGGUGAGUUCUUAUAGGGUCAACUACAACUUUAAUUGAGUCUUUUAGCAAUUGCAUGAUGAGAUGGUACUACGUUCCUCCCGAGUAGAGUCGUUAAUCAAUCACUCUGAGUCGAACCGAUUCUUACUACCUCAUAUAUUGAACUAAUACCUUAAUUGAUUAAUCUAGGACUAGGGGUGAGUUCUCAUAAUGUCAACUACAAUAGAUAACAACUCCUAUUUGAUAAUUUACAACAGAUGGGUAAUUUAUUAUGACAUAUGACUUAAUCUAUUUGAUAAUUUACAAUAGAUGGGUAAUCUGUCGCAAUAGAUGACUUAAUCUGUUUGAUAGUUUACAAUAGAUUCAUGAUCUGUCGCAAUAAAUGACAUAAUCUAUUUGAUAGUUUACAACAGAUGCGUAAUAUGUUGCAAUAGAUUACCUAAUCUGUUUGAUUUGAUCCAACAAAAAAGAAUCUGUUGCAACAGGUUGAACAUUUGUUUAUAUAUAAUUUCAACUGAGUUCAUAUGUUAGACUAAUACCUUAAUUGAAUGUGAGUUUUCAUAGGGUCAACUACAACUUCAACUGAGUCUUUUGGCAAUUUCAUGAUGAGAUAAUACUGCAUUCCACCCGACUAGAGUGAUUGAUCGAUCACUCUGAGCUGAACUGAUUCUUACUACCUCAUAUGUUAGACUAAUACCUUAAUUUAUUAAUCUAGUACUGGGGUACUAAUACCUUAAUUGAAUGAUCUAGGACUAGAGGUGAGUUCCUAUAGGGUCAACUACAACUUUAAUUAAGUCUUUGGUAAUUGCAUAAUGAGACAGUACUGCGUUCCUCCCGACCAGAGUUAUCAAUAGAUAACUCUGAGCCAAACCAAUUCUUACUACCUUAUAUGUUCAACUAAUACCUUAAUUGAAUAAUUUGGGACUAGGGGUGAGUUCUCAUAGGGUUAACUAUUGAUUACUCUAGGACUAGGGGUAAGUUCUCAUAGGGUCAGCCACAACAGAUGGCAGCUCCUAUUUGAUAAUUUAUAAUAUAUGGGUAAUCUGUUACGAUAUAUGACAAUCUAUUUGAUAAUUUAUAACAGAUGGAUAAUCUGUCACAACAGAUGACUUAAUUUAUUUGAUAAUUUACAAUAGAUUCGUAAUCUGUUGUUACAUAAUCUGAUUGAUAAUUUACAAUAGAUGCAAAAUCUUAUGCAACAUGUUGAACAUUUAUUUUUAUAAAACUUCAAUUGAGUUCAUAUGUUAGACUAAUAGUACCUAAAUUGAUUAAUCUAACACCAAGAUUGAGUUUUCAUAGGGUUAACUAGAGUACUCGGUCAACUACAACUUCAAUUAUUUUUAUACAAUUUCAAUUGUGUUAUCCUUUUGGCAAUUACAUGAUGAGAGGGUUAAAAAUUAUGAAUAUAUUUUAUGAUUUUAAAAAUAAUUAAGAUCAAUUCGGACCAAAUUAACAUUUUCAAAACUUGUCAUUCUUUUUCAAAAUACAAAUCAACCCAGACAAAAUAUUUCAUCAUUUUAAAUCUAGAGUUCUCGCUCUUUCUCUCUCAUUCUCACUCAACAAUACAGUACAAACAACAACUACUCAAUAAAUUUGCUCAACUCUCCACAACAGAUCAUUUUUCUUCUCAUUUCUGACCACAUAGGUGUUAUUUUUGACUUCAUUCUUGCUUGUAUCAGUCAUUUUCUUUGUCUUCGUAGGCAAUAGAGUUUGAGAAGAGCUCUAUAUUUGUUAUUUUUUUCUAAAAAAAAGGGUUUUUAAGUUAAUGAUGAAAAAUAAAACUUUUAGUUGUAUUAUCUUCAAGAAUGAAUUUACAAUUUUGAGUUUUGAUGGUAAAAUUAUAGGAAGAACUUGAGAAAUCUCUAGUUUCCAUCGCAGUAUUCCAUUGACUGUCAUGGUAUUAUUGGAUAGUGUUUGUGGUGUUGGUGGUAGUGGCGGUGGUCCUAGUCAUCGUCGUGGCACUGGUGGUGGCAUUGGUUGGUGGUGUUUAUGGUGGUUGUCAAUUGUGUCGGUAUUCAUGGUGUUUGUUUGUGGCAUUGGUUGGUGGUGUUUAUGGUUGUGGUUGUUGGUGUGUCGGUAUUCGUGGUGUUUGUAAUGUAUUUUUUAAAAUUUAUGCAUACAUCAAUUGUAAUGUAAUUUUUGUUUUUCUUUGUUUGUAGGUAAAACAUGUCUCCCAAAAGAAAAGAAAGUGAAAGUUGAUCAACGUUUGACCACCCAAAAAAAGGCUACAGUACAGAGGGAUUCGGAGGAGCUUUCUGAACAAUCUCAAUCAGGAAAAAGUGAAGUUAAGGAAAGAUAUGAAAAAAACAUUAAGAGAGGUGGACAAGGGUUUGUAGAUGAUGAUGAAUAAAAUAAAAGUGAGAAAAAAGAAGAAUUGGAGAGUGAGAAAGAGAAAGAGGAUGAUCAUCAACAUGAUGAUAAUGGAUCACCAAGGGGUCGUGAAUUAAUAUUGACAUCCCAACAUGAUCCUGUCAAAACUUGUAGUAUUGACAGGUUUCAAGUUGUGAUGUCGAUAAAUGACCCAGAAGCAAAACAACUAACUUGUCAAAUUGUACUUAAAUGUUAGAUGGGGAAAAUUUUUGAACAUUUUAUGAAAAUUAUGAAGAACAAAAACAUAGGCAGAAUUUUUAAGAAGAGCUACUUUGGACGCUUUCUUGAGCUGCCUGAGGACCCCUCUGCCCGUAUCUGUUUCCCUAUGACAAUGGUAUAUGGUAUUCUCAAGCGCAGGAUCAAGUACGUGGGGGAUGAUAAAGAUUCGAAGGAGGCGGGCAAAAAAAAGAUGGAUAAAAUCUGGAUCAACUACUGUGGCAUGCCUGUUUGUUUUAGCUUGGAAGAGUUUGCCAUAGUGAUGGGAUUGAGAUGCCAUCGUCCAGAAGGACCACUCCCCCGCAAAAGAUCCAAGGCAAGCAAACGUAAGGAAAAAAUAGAUGGGUUGUUUGACAUUGCUCGACGUGGCUACAAAGCAUCUGAUUUAUUGACAGAUCUCAAGAAUAAAACCAUACCAGUGCAGUACAGGGAGCAAUUUUGCUUAGUUUGGUUUGCCCAUUCUGUUAUAUUUGCAAGAGACGUCAACAAGGUCAUAGAAGAUGAUUUGUUGGCGCGGGCUGAGGAUUUUGAUAAAUUUAACAAUUAUCCCUGGGGAUAUGACAGCUUCUACUUGACUGUCCAAUAUUUACUGACAAAGUUAUCCUCAGGGACGACCACAUUAUACGACUUUCCUUGGGCUUUCAUGGUAAAAUUAAUUACAAAUUUUACUCAUCCAUUAAUUUAUAUUGAAUAUAGUUAUUAUGACUUUUUUUUUCUUCCUGUUUCUGUUUUUUAGGCUUGGGCAUUUGAAGUCAUUCCUUCUCUUCCAAAGUAGUUAAUGGAUUAUCAGGAUGAGUUUUCUCAUCUAAGGAUGUUUAGGUGGUUGGCUGCAAAGAGCAACACCAAUAUUAAGGAGGCUGGUCUCUUUAACCCUUCGGAUGAUGCAGUGUGUCUUCUUUAAGUAAAAUAAUUUUAGUCAAAGAAAGAUAAAAGAUAUUGAACAGGUGUUAUAUCUGGUGCAACAGAUGUUAAAUCUGAUGCACCAAAUGGGACAUCUGUUGCAACAAGGUAUGAUUGAUAUCUUGUAUCAGAUUACCUAUAUGUUGCUUUGGUUUUUUGAACCCAACUCCUAAUAGAUUAACCAUCUACAACAAAUUAUACAAUAGAUGUGUAAUCUGAUAACAUAUUGUUCAUCUGUUAUGACGUACAGAUCAUCUGUUGCAUAACAGAUUACCCAUCUUAUGCAACUGUUGCAACAGAUCAUUGAUAUUUUGCAUUAUAUUAUCAUGUGUUGCUCUGCUUCUCUGAACUAGACUCAAACAGAUUUUAACCAUAUACUGCAAACUAUGCAACAAAUGGGUCUUUAUUAAAUGUAGCCAACUGUGAAAAUUAUUAUAUUAUAUGAUUUAAAUGCAUCUGUCUUUUUUUUCUUUUUAUAGGUUGUGCAUCCAUGGAUCAUGCCUACUGAGGAGGAGUCGGUGAUGACUUCUUAUAUUACUCUAGAUCAUGUUGAUACUAUAGAAUACCCAAUGGUGGAGUUAAUAAAGAAGGAAUUGGUUGGAGAAACAGCCAUACAAAGAGCAGUUAGGCAAGGUCAGCCUAAUGUUGAGGCCCUUCAUGACCAACCUACUAAGGCAGGUCUGGGUGCUUCUUCUAGUGGAGUUGUUGGUGUUGGUGGCAGGCAUGCUGAUGCUGAUACCACUCAUGAUGAUGAGCAUUUUUAUGCUCAAAAAAGAAUAAAUAUGUUUGAAAACACAUCUUUUUACCCUUACACAGGUCCCUCUCACCCCUCUUUACCCUCGUGUUCUCGUUGUGAAUACGAAGAUACAAGGGCAGACAGGAUAAACUCUUUGAAAAAGUAAAGGCUAUCUCUAAAGCAAUCAAGAAAUUCAAAUCCAAGAGGUGUGUCAUACCAUCCAAGAAGGUGAGGGAGCUACACACUCCUACAAUGUUGGUUAGGAGAAAGAAAAGAGCAAUUAAAGACGUGGUCAAAAAUCAAAAGAAAUUGUAAUUCCUCCCUUUCCAAAAGUUGUUGAACUUCAGGGGCCAGUCAAGAAGAUAGACAUAUAUGUGGAACUUGGCGCCGAAGAGAAGAGGGAUCUGCGACAGGCCAAGAAUGCCAAGCCAGGCGCACAAGAUUACCUCAGGCCUCCCUUUUCCCCUCAAUACUUCCAAACUAUAAUUGAUCUGUAUAUGUCGUAUGAGGAAAAGACAAGUUUACUUUUCCUAAACUAUCCCUUCUAAUCUACCCCAUGAAGAAGAAGCUACGCAAUAGAUUUUACAUCUUUUACAACAGCUGGGUAUACUGGUACAACUGGUAGUGGUUCUGUUGUAACUUAUUAUCCAUCUGUUGCAUAAGUUAUGUUGGAUUAUUGAUUCAGAGAACCCUAUGAAAUAGAUGGACCAUCCGCUGCAUCUUUACAAUUACUAAUCAAUUUAAAAAAAUUGACUUCUUAUAUCACAGCAUGUUGACAUGAUUCUCUGCCUCGUGAGGAAAAGGCAAUUAACGUACCUGGAAGCAUAUAAUGCUACCGAUAGGAUAAUAGACCUCAACUUCUGCAAGAAGCUCAAGGAUAGGUACGAUCAAAUCAAUGGGGAGGUGUUAGCCCUUGGCGUGGGACUUGAUUUCUUAGUUCCUACAUUGGUCUUAGAUGAAGAAGAAAUGAUAAAAUAUGUUAGAGGGGAGAAUCUAAAUCCACACGGCAAGAGAUGGACCGAGGCAACAAGGAUUCUUACAGUCAUUAGCGUGUACAGCAUGUAUUAUCAGGCUGUUGAGAUACUACUCGAUGAGGGAAAGAUAAAUAUUUAUGACUUUAAUGUACCUUUCAUCGAUGAUUUUGAUCUUUUUUCUCCUCGUGGAGCCACUGAUGGUGUUGUUGCCCAUCUUAUUUAGGGAGAGUAAACUGAUGAAUCAUUUGUCAAAGGAAGUAUUGAUGAAGAUAUCAUGGGAUUUUAAAGGUCAAAAUAAGGGAAUGAUCCUUCUAAAAGAUGAUGUCGUUAAAGAUAGCGGCUCGCACGCUCUUGCACACAUCAAAUGUUUGCUGACCGAGAUAGAAAUGGCCGAGCCAAUGACUUUUCUAUGUGACAACACUAUGGCAAACCUGCAAGAGGUCUGGGCUUAUGGGGUACUAGCUGGACACUUGAAGCCUAUGUAUAUAGAAGAGCCUGUGAAAUAGCAAUUUUUAAUUUCAAGUCACCCUUCACUUUAUUAUAUGUACAUGUAGUGGCAAUAAUUUUUUUUGAUGAAAGUUGAGUUUUUUAUAAUGCAAUAGAUUGUCAUUCUGUAGUAAAAUAUAUUUAAUCUGUUCUGGCAGAUAUUUUAUCUGUUGUAAUAGGUUGGUCAUCUGCUGCAUUAUUCCAAUGUUAUUUUUAUAAAUAAUCUAACAAUCUAAUCUAAGUCUAAUCUGUUGCAAUAGUGGGAAGACCUGUUUGAUAAUUUCAAUAGAUGACCUAAAUUUUAUAACAUAUGUCUAACUCUUUUUGAUAUUUUCCAACAGUUACACUUGAAUAUCCAUGUGCUCGACAAUACCAAACCAGUAGCAAAUACACACACCACCAUGAAAAUUUCAGCAAUUAGGCUUGAAUAUCCAUGUGCCCAACAACACCAAACGAGUAGCAAUAAAGUCAACAAUGCAGUAUCUUCUUGAUCGAUUUUGUUUCUCUUCAAAAGCCUUGACUUUGUUCAACAAACCCCAAAUUAUACGAUUUUCUUGUGAAGGGUGUCAUUCUUCAUACCAAUCAAAGUAAUCGCGUCUACCCAAUUUCUAUAAAAAGGAACACAAUUACAAAAUAAUUACAAGUCAAUAAUUAAUCAACUAAUUAAAUAAAAAAAAUAUUACCUUUGAAAUCCUACAAGUAAAAAACUUACGACCCGGAUUUUGUUGAUUCCAAGAAGUCUUUAAUAGAGCUUCAUGACCGCACUUACAAUAUCAAAAAUCUUUAUCACAAAAAAUAGUGGAAGAUGCGCUCGACAUUUUCAAGCUCAGUUGGAAAAAAUGAAAGAAAUAAUUUGAAGAAUUUGGAUAGAUAAAAGAAGAUAAUGAUGAUGAUGAAGACUUGAGAAUUUAGGGUUAAAUUUUAGGAGGAAGAUGAACAUAUAAGACAAUGGGGGAGAAAUGACCGUUGGGGGCCAAGUGACGGCAAGUCAACAAAAUGAGCCAAACAAACACAUUUGAUGCAUAUUUUAUUUUACGUGUUUAAAAUGAACACUGUCUACUUGAUGCCUAUUUUAUUUUAGGUGUUUGAAAUGAACACCGUCGAUGGGUUCCGCCUUUUUUAUUUUAAUUCACUUUAACCUUUUUACAUGUAGUGGCAAUUUUUUAUGUUCAACGAAAGUUGAAUUUUUAUAAUGCAACAGAUUCUCCAUCCGUUGUAAUAGUUAUUCUACCUAUUUUGACAUAUAGUUUAUCUGUUGGAAUAGGUUGGUCAUCUGUUGCAUUAUCUCGAUGUUUCUAUCUAAGACCAUUUGUUUCAACAGUGGGAAGACCUGUUUGAUAAAUUUCAACAGAUUACCUACCUGUUGCAACAUAUGUCUAAAUCUGUUCAAUUUUUCUAAUAGAUGUGUCGUCUGUUGUAACAGAUACAUUAUCUAUUUUAAUAUUUAAAUCUAGUAUUCCUUUUCAAUUAAUAAGUUCAAAUAUAAGGAAUAAAUAAAAUUCAUAGACAAAAUAAAAUAAAUCGAAGCCUUCAUAAAUUAGCUUAAAUAAGUCAACGAAUAAAUGAAAUGUAAAAAAAUUAUUAUGGGUACAGAUCUCAACAAAUACAUCAACAACAAUUUAAGUGUGAUGCCAAUGAUUAACUUGACAUGCUUAAGCUAUAAAGAUCUACUCAGUAUGAAUAAGUUGUUCUUCAUCCGGUACUAUGGAAUUCGGCUUUGCUCGUCGUGGAUCUUUACUGUCGCUUAUGUAUGGUUUCUGCACUUUUUAUUUUUCGUAUUUCCAUAAAAAGAGUAGCAUAUUGUCAAUGAUUUUUAGUAGUAUCUUCUUCUAUGUCCACCUGGAAAGCCAGAAUUGGUCAAUGCUAAUCACGGAGAUACAAUAAAAUUAAAAAGGAUAACUCAUCUCUUCUAGCAAAUCAAACAGGUCUUCCUUCCACUUUAAAUUAUCCCAAAUAGAUUAUAUUUCUUUUACAAUAAUGAAUCAACUUUUGGGACAAAUCUCUACAUGAGGAAGACCUUGUAUGAUAAUUUCCAACGAAUGAACCAUCCGUUGUAAUAGAUGAAUUAUCCAUUGCAGCAGAUAGCUCAUUUGUUGGUACAAAUAAAAGUGGUACGAAGAGCUGUUUGAUUUGCUAAAAUAGAUAAGACAUAUGUUGCACUAGAUACUUUAUCUGGUGCAACAAGUCAGUCAACUGUUGCAACCGUUUUAUAUAUCUGUUUGAUAAUUUUCAGCAGAUGUGUCAUCUGUUGAAAUAGGUAUGUGUCUAUUUUUUUUGUCAGUUAGAAUACAUAUAUAUUCACCUUCUUCAGCUCGUGCUGCUCUUCUUUUGACAUUGUACGUUGCUCAGUGCAACACACAGACAGAGGAAUUACAAUUUUGCUUUUUUGGAUGCUUGAUAAUGCCUUGGAAAUCACUCUCCUUCUCUUUUAGCCCUAAUCUCUAAUGGAGUGGAUGGAAAUAAAAUCCUCUUUGAUGGAAUAAGACCCCUCUUAGAUGUCAAUUUCUUUACAUAAGCAGUUAAUACAUCAAUAGCAUUAAUCACUACAUCAUGUUUCGCCCUGCAGUCUUGACAUUUGCAUGCAGAACAUUCGCUGGGAGAGACAAAAUCUGUAUAACCAGUAUGAUCAUACUCAUAAUGGUUUUCUUUAAAUACUAUAAGAGGAAUCACCAACAGCAGCACCACUACCACCACCAACAGCACUAUCACCACUAAGACCAUCAACAAUAACAAGCCCAUCUUCCAAAAUUAUUUUUUUUGUAAUGGUUGUUGCUACAAACAAUUCCAUUUUUAUUCUGUCGAUGACCUUAGGGUCCAAUAAAGUUUGCACAGACCAUAAAGUAAGAAAAAAUGGAAUCUGUAACUCUCGAUUGGUCGGAACUAGUGACAGAUGCACAAUCUAACAUAAAUCAUUACAUAAAUUAGAAUGAUGAUUAGAUCAUUCAAAAAAAAUCAUUGAUUAAAAGCAAAAAAUAAUUAUAAUUAUACUUAAUGCAUCCUUCGGGGGUUGAAGCGAUCAAGAAUUUUUUCAUUUUUAUUAGUUUUAGCCGACAACCAUCUCAAGAUUUUUGGACAGAAAACUCCUUCAUGGUAGUUCACUUGUUGUCUCAAAUAAGGAAUGGCUUCAAAUGCCCAAGCCUAUAAAAUAAAGCCAAUAAAUUAAAACCAUAAUUGAGUAAAGAAAAUGAAUGAUAUCAUAAUAGAAGAAAGAAACAUUUACCAUGAAAGCCCAUGGGAAGCCAUAUAAGUUGACUGUCUUUAGCGCUAACGGAGUCAACAAAUAUUUGACAAUCAUUUUGAAGAUUUCAUACCCCCAAGGAUAGCUGUUAAACACCUCAAGAUCCCCAAAGAGCUUUAUUAAACCGAGGUUUAUGUUGUUGUUACGUCUCUCACCCAAAGAAUAUUAUGUACAAACCAAACCAAGCACAAUGACUGUUUGUGCUACUUUGAAAGUCCUUUACCUUUCAACGCUUCUAUCAAAUUUUUAUUUUUGAAGAUUGAACUAACAAUGGAUACUAGGUCAUCACGAUCACACGAUUUGCCUUUGCCAUUUUUGGGUGUGCAGGGUGCUUUUUUUUAGUUAGAAUAGGUAUACCUUGAGAAGGAGGAUAACAUUUUAGUCCAGUAACUAUGUCAAACUCAUUCCAACCAAAACAAACAGGCAUGCCAUAGUAAUUUAUCCACACCUCAUCUAUCUUAUCUUUGUUUUUAUACAUAAAUCUACGCUUGAGAAAUUCAUAUACUAUUUUUAUUUAGAAAUGAGCAUUGUUGUCCUCCGGCAAAUCAAGAUAUUUCCCAAAGCAGCUGUCCCUGAAAUAAGCAUCCAAUUUUUAUUCUCAAAGUAUUUUUAUGAAGGCAUCAAAAGAUUUUUCCAUGGCUGACUUAACUAUAAAAUCACCCAUUAAAUCUGCGAUACCAUUGCACUGCAUUCUCAAAGGAUAACGAUCAAUGCUGAAGGCUUUGACAAACUUUUUGAUGGAAGGGCUAUUAGAAUUUGCAUCAUCUCUUUUGAAAUAUUCCUCCUCCCCAUGUUCAUCAUAUUUUGCUCCCGAUUGAGAUAACACUUGUAAAGCAAACUCAUAGAGUGGUGGAUGUAGCCUAGCUACUUCACUUGUUCCUUUACUUAGACUUGAUUUAGUUUUUGUUCUUUUGGGAACCAUAUAUCUAAAAUUAACAAAAACAUAAAAAAAUAUAUUAUAGUUGAUUAAUGCAUCGUUAAAAAGGGAUAACAGUAAAUCAAACAAGCAAAAUAGUAAAAUAACAGUUGCAACAAAUCACUGAUCUGUUGCGCCAGGUAGUAUAUCUAUUGCAGUAUAUAACCAACCUGUUGCAGUAGAUGAGUAAUCUGUUGCAACAAUACAAAAUAUAUCACUUAUCUUUUAAGAUAGAUGAAUGGUCUGUGCAAUAGAUCACACAUUUUUGCGAUAUAUGAGUGAUCCGUUGGGAUAAUUAAAUAACCUGUUGCAAUGAAUGAUUAAUUUGUUGCGACAAUACAAAAUAAAUCACUUAUCUAUUGAUAAAAAAGAAUGGUCUAUAGAGCAGAUCAUACAUAUAUUGCAACAUCAUUUGUUGCAACAUGUGAGUUAUCUGUUGGAAUAUUUAAAUAACCUGUAGCAACGGCUGAGUAAUCUGUUGCGAUAAUACAAAUCAUAUCACUUAUCUGUUGAGAAAGAUGAAUGGUUUGUGCAACAAAUCACACAUCUUUUAUGACAUCAUCUAUUGUAACAUAUGCGUGAUCUGUUGGAACAGUUAAAUAAUCCAUAGCAAUGGCUGAGUAAUCUAUUACGAUAAUACAAAAUAUAUGACUUAUCUAUUGAGAAAGAUGAUGUAAUAGCUCGAGACUCUAACCAAUAGUGCAACCAUAACUCAAGCUUAUGAGAAAUAAAUUAUAGUGCUUUGGUUGUUUUCUGAUCAAGGGUGAUGUGUAUUAAGGCCUCAAAGAUGUCCUAGCGAUUGGGUGAAUCAAAAUAUCCCUUACCGAUUGAAUUCCUGAGAAGGAUUUUGGCAUAACCAACUUCAAAUGAGUAUAUAUCUUUCCACCCUUAGAAUUUUUGACUUCAUGACCUACUAACAGAUAUAUAAUUGAAUUAGCUUUCCAAGGCACCAAUUAUACCCAAAUCUAGUAUCAGAGCAAAGAGUUAUGCCCAUUCUACUCCAGCGUGUCAGCCUGGAAAUUUCAUGACGACAUUUUGUGAUGACUUGUCACAAGCCUGAUGGCUUGUCAUAAAAUGUCAUCACCAUAAGCAGAAAUUCACAAAAUCCAACAUUUUGUGAUGACUUGUCACAAGUUUGAUGGCUUAUCACCAAAUGUCUUCAACCUUAAGCCGAAAAUCAUAAAAUCCACCCUUUUGUGAUGACAUUUUGUGACAACUUAUUACAAGUCUGACGACUUUUCAUGAAUGUCGUCAGCUAUUUAUUUUCAGCAAUUAAGGGACGUUUUUGCAAGGAUAUUUUGGUAUUUUCCCAUAUUUUGGGGGCCUAUAUAAAUAUGAGAAUCCUCAUCCAAACCCUAAUUUCUUCAUUCUCUCUUCCAAUUUUAUUAAGAAUAUAUAUUAGGGUUUCAAUCAAGAAAAUUUAAUCUUCCAAAAAUCAUCCAUAAAUCUUCAAGAUUUCUUCAAGAAUCAAGUCCCUCAUAGUGUGGGCUUCAAGAAUCAUUUAUUACAAGUGCGGAUAGAGUCUCAAGCACUAGAAUUCAUCCAAUUUCAAAGUUUAAGGUAUGUGGGGUUUUGAACAAGAGCAAUUAUUUUGUUCUUGUGCCCAAAGCUUUGGUUUCUAUUAUGGAUUUAUAUGAUUUUGCAAGUGGGUUUAUACCCAAAUUACUUCAUCAUGAGACUAUGAGAAUAUAAAUUAUCCAAGCUUUAUUAUACAUGAUUAUUUUACUAUUCCUAAGUUAUGACUUGAUAUUUAAUAUUGUGAAUUUCAUAUUUCUACCAUAAUUUGAUACUUCAAGUGCUUUCAAGAUAUGUGUCAAGCUUUACGCUUCCUUACGAGAAAUUAAAUUAUUGAGUAUAUUGAUUCAUGAGACUGAGUUGUUACAAUGAAUCUUGAUAUUUUCUCAAAGUUAUUGAUGUUACAAUGAUUUAAUGAAUUGAUACAUUUUGAUAUUAAGAAAGAUUGAUUUUAUUUGAGUCGAGUUAGGAAUCUACAAAUUGAUUAUGAUUUGAUAAAUAAGAAAGAGAUUUGAUUUGAUCUUUAUGAUUGACCCUUGUGAUAUUUGUGGUGGAUUUCCUAACGCGUUCUGAGCUUGUGUCUGGGAGUAGUAUUUAGCACCAUAUGAGAAAUAUGGUAUUUCUCCCAAAACUAUGUGCCACCAUAGGAUUGGUAUUGAUAUUUGUGGGCCAAAGGACGAGUAUAAGAUUAUGAUCACUAAAUUAAGGUUGUACUCCCUGGGAAGAGUACGAUACUCCUGCCAAUGUGGGGUUCUCUCCUUAGGAGGGCAAAAUGUUGGACUCCAUGUAGCUCACAUGGUUUAUGUCGGUUAUAAGAACCUCCCAUGUCCAUAAGAGUUGAGUUUAUUGAAUUACCGAGUAACUCCGAGUUUUGAGUUGAAGAGUUGAGUUGUUUAUGAUGAUUUAUGAGGUUUUUAUCAUAUGAUUUAUUACUAUGAGAUCAUGAAAAGUAUGUUUCAAUCUAACUCAAGCCAAGCGAGCCAUCAUUGUACAUAUCCAUAUUUUCAUAAAAUUGAUGAUGAUAUUUACAUUGUUUCAUGCAACCCCACAUACUCAGUACAUUCCAAAGUGUUGGCCCACAUAUUUUGCUAUGGGCUAUAUUUUACUGUAAUGUAGGUUCAGGUACUCAGCCUCAGCCGCGUUAGCGAUAUUUAAAUGCCUCAACUACGUUCCCUCAAUGGUGAGUCCUCAUGGUUCGAGGAUCAUGUCUAUAUUUUUAGUGAUAUCAUUCUGUUGUUAUGGCUUUCAGUACUGUCUAAAUCAGUUGGGGGUUUGUCCCAAUGGCUCUUUAAUUUUGAUGUAUAAAGGCUUUGUCAGACUAAAGAGUGGGUAUGUACAGACAUUCAAUAUAUUUUAGUUGUAUAGUCUAGUAUUUUCCAGUAUUUCUCUUGAACCUGAUAUGGUAUAUCUCUUCGUUGUGCAUGACUAUUGUCAAAUUGAAUUCCUUGAGGUAGUGUCUGGCUCUGAGGGUUAGCUUGCAGAUACGUGUAGCCCUAAGCACCGUGUGGCAUAUCAAGAUAAAAUUUUGGGGCGUUACAAGCUUGGUAUCAGAGCCUGAGGUUUAAGGAGUCCUAGGGAGUCUGACAUGCUGCGUUACGUAGAGUCUUGAUCAUCGGUGUGUAGCGCACCACAUCUAUGAGCAAGAGGCUACGAAAUAUUUUAGGAAAAUUCAUUUCUUUCUUUCUAAAGUAUAUCGUACCUACAACUUCCUCUUUAUCUGUGAUUAACUCAUGCUUUCUUAUAACAAAAAAUGCCUCCUCAUGAGCUCGUAGAAACAAUGAGCAACCUUCACCCAUUGAUCCAUUGAAUGAACAUAUCUCUCAUGCAAAAUGUCUGGCAGCAUUUUUGGUGCUAGCCCAGACAGCUACCGCCAAUGCACAAGCCAACACCCAGGCUACUGUUUUACCUCCGUAAGAGAAUAAUUCUGCUGCAGCUCAAGUUUUUGACUUUAUGCGGAUAAAUCCACCUGAGUUAUAUGGAUCGAAGGUAGGUGAAGACCCACAGAUGUACUUGGAUGAAGUGAGAAAGAUCACCCAGAUUAUGCAUAUGACUGAGGGAGAGAGUGUUCAAUUAGCUGCCUAUCGAAUGAAAGAUGUUACAUAUAACUGGGUGGAGAUAUGGGGGAAGAGUAGGGGAAGGAUGCCACUCCUAUGACUUGGCAUUUAUUCCAGGAUGCGUUCUUGGAUUUAUUUUUUCCUCUUGAGAUGAGGGAAGCAAAGAUAAAGAAAUUCAUAAAUUUGAGACAAGGCUCCAUGACUAUUAAGGAGUAUUGUCUUAGAUUCAAUCAGUUAUCCAAAUAUACUCCUAGUAUGUUGGUUGAAUCUAGGACCAUUAUGAGUAAGUUCGUGACAAUAUGGAGAUAAACGUUUCUCAGUUGAUGAUAAAUGCCCAACAGAUUAAAGCUGAUAAGCUAAAAGAGAGAGAAAGUAAGAGAGAAUAAAAGAGCUAGAUUACAGCAGCAGGGAUCCGAUCAGUCCAGAUUCCAUGGAGGGAACCACCCUCAAUUCUAGGGACGUCCAUUUAUGCCCAUGCGUUCCUCGGUUAGUGCUCUGCACCUAGAAGUAGGUAGGAGCAGAGAAACAAGCCUAUCCCAUCCAGGUCUCAGGAAAGUGUAGGCAACCAACCUCGUCCUUCUUCAUAUGCCAAGUGUGGUAGAGAUUAUUUUGGUGAGUGUUUUGUUGAUCAGAGGGGUUUCUUUGGUUGUGCCAAGUUGGUUACCGACUUAGAAAUUUUCAGAAUUCUAGACAAAGGAGUUGAGAUGGUCAUCCCCAGAGUCAGGCUACCAGUGCCCCCGUUUUCGUAGUCCAACAGUUUUUUCUCAGUGCACCUUUUUUAGUACUGCUGGUGGUUUAUGCCAGAAUCACUUCUAUGCUAUACCACCUUACCAAGAGAAGGAGGACUCUCCUGAUGUUGACACUGGUAUGCUCUAUAUUUUUCAUUUUGUUGUGUAUGUAUUGAUGGACCCCAGUUCGAGUUUUUCUUAUAUGACACCUUUGAUUGCUGUAAAUUUUAAGAUGGACCCUGAACGGAUUCCUGAGCCUAUUCUAAUUUCUACCUUGGUAGGAGAAUCUAUUAUAACUAAGCGAGUGUCUAAGAAGUGUCCUGUCACUAUCCUUCAUCAGGUCAUAUAUGCUGAUUUAAUUGAGCUAGAUAUAGUUGAUUUUAACGUCAUUCUAGGUAUAGAUUAGCUUCACUCAUGCUAUGCGUCUAUAGAUUGUCGUACCUGAGUGGUAAAGCUUCAGUUUCCUGAUGAUCCCAUUUGUGAGUGGCCUGGGAGUUUUGUAACUUCGAAGAUCCAUUUCAUAUCCUACCUCAAAGCUAGGAAGUUGAUUUCCAAGGGUUGCAUCUAUCACCUAGUUCAAGUUAAAGACCUCAAGUCUGAGACUCCGACUAUUUAGUUAGUUACCAUUGUUAAUGAGUUUCCCAAUGUUUUCCAGGAACAUCUCCUAGGGGUCCCACCUGAUAGAGAAAUAGAAUUCGAGAUUGAUCUCCUUUCUGGAACUCAGCCUAUUCCCAUUCCUCCGUACCGUAUGGAUCCUACAAAACUUAAAGAGUUGAAAGAGCAACUCAAAGAUCUCUUAGACAAAGGCUUUUCAGACCCAGUGUUUCUCCAUGGGGUGCACCUAUUCUAUUCGUGCAUAAGAAAGAUGGUACAUUGCGUAUGUGCAAUGACUACCGUCAACUCAACAAGGUAACUAUCAAGAACAAGUACCCUCUUCAUAGAAUUGAUGAUUUAUUUAAUUAGCUACAUAGUGCAAGUUAUUUCUCAAAGAUAGACCAUAGAUCUGGCUAUCAUCAACUUAAUAUGAGAGAGUGUGAUAUUCCAAAGACAGCCUUUCAAACCCAUUAUGGUUACUUUGAGUUUCUUGUCAUGUCCUUUGGGUUAACCAGUGCUCCAGCAUCCUUCAUGGACCUCAUGAAUCGAGUGUUCAAGUAAUAUCUUGAUAUAUUUGUCAUUGUAUUCAUAGAUGAUAUUUUGUGUAUUCCCAAAGAGAGGAUGAUCAUGCCGACCAUAUUAGAAUUGUCUUGCAAACUCUUAAUGAUGAUCAAUUAUUCACUAAAUUUAGCAAGUGUGAAUUUUGGCUAAGGUCAGUUGCUUUUCUGGGUCAUAUUGUCUCCGUCGAAGGCAUUAGAAUCGAUCCCCAAAAGACAGAAGUUGUAAAGAAUUGGCCUAAACCUACCUUCUCAUCUGACAUUAGGAGUUUCUUAGGUCUAGCUGGUUAUUAUCAUUGUUUUGUUGAGGUAUUCUCUUCUAUUAUGUCUCCCAUGACUCGGUUGACCCAAAAAAAAGUUAAGUUCCAGUGGACAGAUGCUUGUGAUAAGUAUUUUCAGGAGUUGAAGACUCGACUAACUUUAUCCCCAAGGUUUGCUUUACCUAAUGGUACUGAUGGUUUUGUGGUGUAUUAUGAUGCUUCUAGAGUUGGUUUGGGUUGUGUGUUGAUGUAAAGGGGUAAAGUUAUAGCUUAUGCCUCUAGACAGUUGAAAUCUCAUGAAAAGAAUUACCCAACCCAUGAUCUUGAAUUAGUAGUUGUAGUUUUUUCUUUGAAAAUCUGGAGACAUUAUCUGUAUGGGGUCCAUGUUGAUGUCUUUACGAACCAUAAAAGCUUGCAAUAUGUGUUCACCCAGAAGGAGUUGAACCUUAGGCAGAGAUGGUGGUUGGAGCUGUUAAAAGAUUAUGAUAUGAGUGUGUUGUAUCAUCUGGGUAAGGCCAAUAUUGUGGUAUAUGCUAUUAUCAAGUUGUCUAUGAACAGUGUAGCUCAUGUAGAGAAUGAUAAGAAAGAAUUAUCCUAUGAUGUGCAUCACUUGGUUAGGUUGGGGGUUAGAUUGCUUGAUUCCGCUGAAUAGAGUAUGUUAGUUAAGAGUAGUUCUGAGUCCUCUUAGGUCUCGGAGGUAAAGGAGAAGCAAGACAGGGAUCCUAGUUUGGUCAGACUGAAGGAAUCAGUUAAAGACCAAAAAGUAGAGGUUUUCUCUUAAGGGGGAGAUGGUGUGUUGAGAUUGUAGGGUAGAUUGUGUGUUCCCGAUGUUGAUAAUCUAUGGCUGAAAUGCAUGGCGUGCGAUAUUCUAUUCAUCCCGGUGCUACCAAGAUGUACCACGAUUUGCGGGAAAUCUAUUGGUGGAAUGGUAUGAAGAAAGACAUAGCAAGAUUUAUGGCAAAGUGUUCUACUUAUCAACAGGUUAAGGUAGGCACCAAAAUCCCAGUGGUGUAAUGCAAGAGUUUAGCAUUCCUACUUAGAAGUGGGAAGAAGUGAAUAUGGAUUUCGUAAUUGGUUUGACUCCUUCUCGUCAUCAUCAUGAUUCGAUUUGGGUUGUGGUAGAUCAGUUGACUAAAUCAGCUCAUUUCUUACCAGUGCCUUCGUCUUAUACAGCUGAGGAUUAUGCUAGAUUGUAUAUUCGAGAAUUCGUUAGACUUUAUGGAGUUCCUUUGGCUAUUAUCUUUGAUAGGGGUACUCAGUUUACUUUCCAAUUUUGGAGGGCUUUUCAGAAGGGUCUCGGUACCCAAGUUCAUCUAAUUUCUACUUUUCAUCCGCAAAAAGAUAAUCAGGCUGAGCGGACCAUUCAUACUUUAGAAGAUAUGUUGAGGGAAUACGGGCUUUAUUUUAAAGGUAGUUGGGAUAAGCACUUGCCAUUGAUUGAAUUUGCUUAUAACAAUAGUUUCCAUGCUAGUAUUCAGAUGGCCUAGUUCGAAGCUUUGUAUGGGAGAAGAUGUAGAUCGCCUAUAGGUUGGUUUGAAGUAGGAGAAGCAGCUGUGAUUGGGCCUGAUGCUAUGUUCGAGGAUAUGGAAAAAAUUAAGUUUAUUUAAGAAAGAUUGAAGACCACUCAAAGUCAUUAGAAGUCAUACGAGAAUGUGAGAAGAAAAGAUCUUAAGUUUAAUGUUAAUGAUUUGGUGUACUUAAAGGUUUUUCCCAUGAAAGAGGUGAUGAUAUUUGGGAAGAAGUGAAAGCUUAGUCCUCAUUAUGUUGGUCCGUACAGGAUUUUGAGCCGUGUUGGGAAAGUAGGAUAUAUGGUGGAGUUACCCGCAGAUUUGUCUAGCGUUCAUCCGGUAUUUUAUAUUCUAUGAUUAAGAAGUUAUUGGUGAUUCUGUGAUGGUUGAUUCUUCCGAAAGCUUUGAUAUUCAGGAUAGCCUUUCAUGUGAGGAGUAUCCAAUUGAGAUUUUGGAUUUUUAAAUCCAUAGGCUAAGGAACAAAGAAGUUCCUUUGGUUAAAGUGCUUUGGUGAAAUCAAUCUAUUGAGAGUGCUACUUGGGAAGUCGAAGCUGAUAUGCAAGCCAAGUACCCUCACCUCUUUUCUGUGAGUUCAGAGCGAGCAGAAGGUACCAUUCUUUCUUAAUUCUGCCCCUUUCCUAUUAAAGAUUCAGGUGUGUGUCUACUUCCAUCACGAAUUAGUGCAUUUUGUAUGGUAUCCGAAGGUAUCGAGUGAAGUAAGCCCUUUGAGUGAGUCUUUCCAGCUAUACGCCCUCAUUUUCUCUUGUUCUUGGCCUAUUUGGCAAUAUUCGAGGACGAAUGUUUCCAAGAAAGAGAUAUUAUAAUACCUCGAGACUCUAACCAAUAGUGCAAUCAUGACUCAAGCUCAUGAAAAAUAAAUUAUAGUGCUUUGGUUUUAUUCUUAUCAAGUGUAAUGUGUAUUAAGGACUCAAAGAUGUCUUAGCGAUUAGGUGAAUCAAAACAUCCCUUAUCGAUUGAAUUCUUGAGAAGGAUUUUGGCAUAGCAAACUUUAAACGAUCAUAUCUAUUUCUACCCUAAGAAUUUUUGAGCUCAUGACACACCAACAGAUAAAAAAUUGAAUUAGCUUUCCAACGGUACCAAUUUCACCCAAAUCCGGUAUCGGAGCAAAGAGUUACACCCAUUUUACUUCAGUGUGUCAGCCUGGAAAUUUCGUGAUGACAUUUUGUGACAACUUGUCACAAGCCUGACAGCUUGUCAAAAAAUGUCAUCACCAUAAGCAGAAAGUCACAAAAUCCAACAUUUUGUGAUGAUAUUUUGUGACGACUUGCCACAACUUUGAUGGCUUGUCACAAAAUAUCGUUAACCUUAAGCCGAAAAUCAUAAAAUCCACCCUUUUGUGACGACAUUUUGUGAUAACUUGUCACAAGUCUGACGAAUUGUCACGAAUGUCGUCAGCUAUUUUUUUUCAGCAAUUAAGGGACGUUUUUGCGAGGAUAUUUUGGUCUUUUUUCAUCUUUUGGAGUCCUAUAUAAAUAUGAGAAUCCCCAUCCAAACCCUAAUUUCUUCAUUCUCUCUUCCAAUUUUCUUAAGAAUAUAUAUUAGUGUUUCAAUCAAGAAAAUUUAAUCUUCCAAAAAUCAUCCAUAAAUCUUCAAGAUUUUUGCAAGAAUGAAGUUCAAGUUCCUCAUAGUGUGGGCUUCAAGAAUCAUUUAUUACAAGUGCGGAUAGAGUCUCAAGCACUAGAAUUCAUCCAAUUUCAAAGAUUAAGGUAUGUGGGGUUUUAAACAAGAGCAAUUCUUUCGUUCUUGUGCCCAAAGCUUUGAUUUCUAUUAUGGAUUUAUAUGAUUUUGCAAGUGGGUUUAUACCCAUAUUAUUUCAUCAUGAGACUAUGAGGAUAAAAUUGUUCAAGCUUUGUUAUACAUGAUUAUUUUACUAUUCUCAAGUUAUGACAUGAUAUUUAAUAUUGUGAAUUUCAUAUUUCUACCAUGAGUUGAUAUUUCGAGUGUUUUCAAGAUAUUGUCAAGCUUUAAGCUUCCUUAUGAGAAAUUGAAUAAUUGAGUAUAUUGAUUCAUGAGAUUGAGUUGUUACAAUGAGUCUUGAUAUUUCCUCAAAGUUAUUGAUGUUGUCAUGAUUUAAUGAAUCGAUACAUUUUGAUAUUGAGAAAGAUUGAUUUGAUUUAAGUUGAGUUAGGAAUCCACAAAUUGAUUAUGAUUUGAUAAAUGAGAAAGAGACUUGAUUUGAUCUUUAUGAUAGUCCCUUGUGAUGUUUGUGGUGGAUUUCCUAAUGCGUUUUGAGCUUGUGUCUGGGAGUAGUAUUUAGCACCGUGUGGGAAAGGUGGUAUUUCCUACAAAACUACGUGCCACCGUAGGAUUGGUAUGGAUAUUUGUGGGCCAGAGGCCGAGUAUGAGAUUGUGAUCACUAAAUUGAGGUUGUACUCCCUGGCAAGAGUAUGACACACCUGCCAAUGUGGGUUUCUCUCCUUAGGAGGGCAAAACAUUGAACUCCAUGUAGCUCACAUGGUUUAUGUCGGUUAUAAGAACCUCCCAUGUCCAUAAGAGUUGAGUUUCUUGAAUUACCGAGUCACUUCGAGUUUUGAGUUGAAGAGUUGAGUUGUUUAUGAUGAUUUAUGAGGUUUUAUCAUAUGAUUUAUUUAUUAUGAGAUCAUGUAAAGUAUAUUUCAAUCUAACUCAAGCCAAGUGAGCCAUCAUUGAAAAUAUGCAUUUUUUCAUGAAAUUGAUGAUGAUAUUUACAUUGUUGCAUGCACCCCCACAUACUCAUUACAUUCCAAAUUACUGACCCACAUAUUUUCCUAUGGACUACAAUUUCUCGUAAUGUAGGUUCAGGUACUCAGCCGCAGCUGCAUUAGCGAUAUUCGCGGGGCUCAACUACAUUCCCUCAGUGGUGAGUCCUCAUGGUUUGAGGACCGUAUCUAUAUUUUUAGUGAUAUUAUUCUGUUUCUAUGGAUUUCAGUACUAUCUGAGUCAGUUGGGGGUUUGUCCCAUUGGCUCUUUGCUUUUGGAUGUAUAGAGGCUUUGUUAGACUAGAGGGUGGGUAUGCACAGACAUUCAAUAUAUUUUGGUUGUAUAGUCUAGUAUUCUCCAGUAUUUCGCUUGAAUCCGAUGUGGUAUAUCUCUUCGUUGUGCAUGACUAUUGUCGAAUUAAAUUGCUUGAGGUAGUAUCUGGCUUCGAGGGUUAGCUUGGGGCUACGUGUGGCCCUAAGCACCGUGUGGAAUCUCUAGAAGAAAUUUUAGGGCGUUACAUACUUGGUAUCAGAUCCUAAGGUUUAAGGAGUCCUAGGGAGUCUAAUAAGUCGCGUUACAUAGAGUCUUGAUCAUCGGUGUGUAGUGCACCACAUCGAUGAGCAAGAGGCUACGGAACAUUUUAGGAAAAUUCAUUUCUUUCUUUCUAAAGUAUAUCAUGCCUACAACUGCCUCUUUAUCUGUGAUUAACUCGUGCUCUCUUAUAAUAGAAAAUGCCUCCUCGUCGAGCUCGUAGAAAUAAUGAGAAACCUCCACCCAUUGAUCCCUUGAAUGAGCAUCUAUCUCAUGGGGAAUUCUGGGCAGUUUUUUAGGCGCUAUACCAGGCAGCUACCGCCAAUGCUCAAGCUAACACCCAGGCUACUGUUCUGCCUCCGCAAGAGAAUAAUUCUGCUGCAGCUCGAGUUUGCCUGAGUUCUAUGGGUCGAAGGUAGGUGAAGACCCACAGAUGUACUUGGAUGAAGUGAGAAAGAUCACCCAGAUUAUGCAUAUGACUGAGGAGGAUAGUGUUGAAUUGGCUGCCUAUCGAAUUAAAGAUGUUGCAUAUGACUGGGUGGAGAUAUGGGGGAAGAGUAAGGGGGAGGAUGCUGCUCCUAUGAAUUGGCAUUUAUUCUGGGAUAUAUUCUUGGACAGAUUCUUUCCUCUUGAUAUGAGAGAAGCAAAGAAAGAGGAAUUUAUGAAUUUGAGACAAGGCUCCAUGACUGUUAAGGAGUAUUGUCUUAGAUUCAAUCAGUUAUCCAAAUAUGCUCCAAGUAUGAUGGCUAACACCAAGACUAUUAUGAUUAAGUUCGUGACUGGUGUGUCGAGUUAUGUUGUGAAAGAGUAUAGAUCUUCUAUGCUUAAUAGAGGGAUGGACCUUUCUCGGUUGAUAAAACAUGCUCAACAGAUUGAAGCUGAUAUGGUGAAAGAGAGGGAGAGAGUAAGAGGGAAUAAAAGAGCUAGAUUAGAGAAGCAGGGAUCCGGUCAGUCCAGAUUCCAUAGAGAGAACCGCCCUUAAUUCCACGGACAUCCAUUUAUGCCUGUGCCUUCCUCAGUUAGUGCUCCCGCACCUAAAAGUAGGCAGGAGUAGGGGAACAAGCCUAUCCCAUCCAGGUCUCAGGAAAGUGUAGGUAACCGACCUCGUCCUCCUUUAUGUGCCAAGUAUGGUAGAGAUCAUUUUGGUGAGUGAUUUGUUGAUUAGAGGGGUUGCUUUGGUUUUGGCAAGUUGGGCCACUAACUUAGAGAUUAUCCGUAUUCUAUAUAGGGGAGUCGAGACGCUCAUCCCUAGAGUCAGGCAACUAGUGCCCCCACUCCCGUAGUCCACCCAGUUCCUCCUCAAGGCGCCUUUUCUUGUACUGCUGGCGGUUUGCGCCAGAAUCACUUCUAUGCUAUACCACCUCACCAAGAGUAGGAGGACUCUCCAGAUGUUGUCACUGGUAUGCUCCGUGUCUUUCAUUUUGAUGUAUAUGUAUUGAUGGACCCCGAUUCGAGUUUCUCUUAUGUGACACCUCUGGUUGCUUUAAAUUUUGAGAUGGACCCUGAAUAAAUUCCUGAGCCUAUUCUGGUUUCUACCCCUGUAGGAGAAUCUGUUAUUACUAAGCAAGUGUAUAAGAAGUAUCCUAUCACUGUUUUUCAUCGGGUCAUAUGUGUUGAUUUAAUUGAGCUAGAUAUAGUUGAAUUUGAUGUCAUUCUGGGUAUAGAUUGGCUUUACUUGUGCUAUGCGUCUAUAGAUUGUCGUACUCGAGUGGUCAAGUUUUAGUUUCCUGAUGAGACCAUUUUUUAGUGGUCCAGGAGUUAUGUAACUCUGAAGAGACAUUUCAUAUCCUACCUCAAAGCUAGGAAGUUGAUUUCCAAGGGUUGCAUCUAUCACCUAGUUCGAGUUAAAGACCUCAAGUUCGAGACUCCGACUAUUCAUUCAGUUACCAUUGUUAAUAAGUUUCCUGAUAUUUUCUCGGAAGAUCUCCUAGGGGCUCCACGAAAUAAAGAAAUAGAAUUUGGGAUUGAUCUCCUUCCCAGCACUCAACCUAUUUCCAUUUCUCCAUACUAUAUGGCUCCCGCAGAACUUAAAGAGUUGAAGGAUCAACUCAAAUAUCUCUUAGACAAAGGCUUUAUCAGACCCAGUAUUUAUCCGUAGGGUGCACCUAUUCUAUUCGUGCAUAAGAAAGAUGGUACAUUACGUAUGUGCAUUGACUACCGUCAACUCAACAAGCUAACUAUCAAGAACAAGUACCCACUUCCUAGAAUCAAUGAUUUAUUUGAUCAGCUACCAGGUGCAAGUUAUUUCUCAAAGAGAGACCUUACAUCCCGCUAUCAUCAGCUUAAAGUUAGAGAGUGUGAUAUUCCAAAGACAGCCUUCCAAACCCGUUAUGGUCACUUUGAGUUUCUUGUCAUGUUCUUUGGGUUAACCAAUGCUCCAGCAGCCUUCAUGGACCUCAUGAAUCGAGUGUUCAAGCAAUAUCUUGAUAUGUUUUUCAUUGUAUUCAUAGACAAUAUUCUUGUGUAUUCCCAAAAAGAGGAUGAUCAUGCCGACCAUCUUCGAAUUGUCUUGCAAAAUCUUAGAGAUCAUCAAUUAUUCGCUAAAUUUAGCAAGUGGAAUUUUGGCUAAGGUCAGUUUCUUUUCUGGGUCACAUUAUCUCCACCGAAGGCAUUAGAGUCAAUCCCUAAAAGACAGAAGUUGUAAAGAAUUGGCCUAGACCUACCUCCCCAUCUGACAUUAGGAGUUUCUUUGGUCUAGCUAGUUACUAGCGUAGUUUUGUUGAGGGAUUCUCUUCCAUUGCAUCUCCCAUGACCCGGAUGACCCAAAAGAAAGUUAAGUUCCAGUGGAAAGAUGCCUGUGAUAAGUAUUUUCAAGAGUUGAAGAAUUGACUCACUUUAGCCCCAGCGUUAGCUUUUCCCAAUGGUACUGAUGGUUUUGUGGUGUAUUGUGAUGCUUCUAGAGUUGGUUUGGGUUGUGUGUUGAUGUAGAGGGGUAAAGUUAUAGUUUAUGCCUCUAGACAGUUGAAGCCUCAUAAGAAGAAUUACCCAACCCAUGUUCUUGAAUUAGCAGCUGUAGUUUUUGCUUUGAAAAGCUGGAGACAUUAACUAUAUGGUGUCCAUGCUGAUGUCUUUACGGACCAUAAAAUCUUCCAGUAUGUGUUCACCCAGAAGGAGUUGAACCUUAGAGAGAGACGGUGGUUGAAGCUGUUAAAAUAUUAUGAUAUUAGUGUGUUUUAUCACCCGGGCAAGGCCAAUGUUAUGGCAGAUGCUAUUAACAGGUUGUCUAUGGCUAGUGUAGCUCAUGUAGAGAAUGAUAAGAAAGAAUUGGCCAGUGAUGUACAUCAUUUUGUUAGGUUUGGUGUUAUAUUAAGUGAUUCCGCUGAUGAGAGUAUGUUAGUUCAGAGUAGUUCUGAGUCUUGUUUGGCCUCAGAGGUAAAGAAGAAGCGAGACAGGGAUCCUAGUUUGGCCAGGCUGAAGGAUUCAGUUAAAGACCAAAAAUUAGAGGUUUUCUCCCAAGGGGGAGAUGGUGUGUUGAGAUUGCAGGGUAGAUUGUGUGUUCUCGAUGUUGAUAAUCUAAGGAAGAGAAUUAUGGUUGAAGCUCAUGGCACGCGAUAUUCUAUUCAUACCGGUGCUACCAACAUGAACCGUGAUUUACGGGAAAUCUAUUGGUGAAACGGUAUAAAGAAAGACAUAGCAGGAUUUGUGGCAAAGAUUUCUACUUAUCAAUAGGUUAAGGUAGAGCACCAAAAGCCCCGUGGUGUAAUGCAAGAGUUUAGCAUUCCUACCUAGAAGUGGAAAGAAGUGAAUAUGGAUUUCGUAAUUGGUUUGCCUCUUUCUCGUCGUCAUCGUGAUUUGAUUGGGUUGUAGUAGACCGGUUGACUAAAUAAGCUCAUUUCUUGCUAGUGCAUUUAUCUUAUACAACUUAGGAUUAUGCUACACCGUAUAUUUGAAAAUUUUUUAGACUUCAUGGAGUUUUUUUAGCUAUUAUCUCUGAUAGGGGUACUCAGUUUACUUUCCAAUUUUAGAGGGCUUUUCAGAAGGGUAUCGGUACCCAAGUUCGUCUAAGUUCUGCUUUCCAUCUGAAAAUAGAUGGUCAGGCUGAGCAAACCAUUCAGACUUUAGAAGAUAUGUUGAGGGCAUGUGCACUUGUUUUUAAAGGUAGUUAGGAUAAACACUUGUUAUUGAUCGAAUUUGAGUAUAACAAUAGUUUCCAUGCUAGUAUUCAGAUGGCCCUAUUCGAAGCUUUGUAUAGGAUAAGAUAUAGAUCGCCUAUAGGUUGGUUUGAAGUAGGAGAAGCGGAUGUGAUUGGGCCUGAUGCUAUGUUUGAGGCUAUGGAAAAAAUUAAGUUAAUUUGAGAAAGAUUGAAGACCACUCAAAGUUGUCAGAAGUCGUAUGCGGAUGUGAGAAGAAAAGAUCUUGAGUUUAAUGUUAAUGAUUUGGUGUACUUGAAGGUUGCACCCAUGAAAGGGGUAAAGAUAUUUGGGAAGAAGGGAAAGCUUAGUCCCUGUUAUAUUGGUCCGUACAGAAUUCUGAGCCGUGUUGGGAAAGUAGCGUAUGAGGUGAAGUUACCCACGGAGUUGUCUAGCGUUCAUCCGUACUUCAUGUUUUUAUGAUUAAGAAGUGUAUUGGUGAUUCUUUCAUGGUUGAUCCUUCCGAAAGCUUGGAUAUUCAGGAUAGCCUUUCAUUUUAGGAGUUUCCGGUUGAGAUUUUGGAUUUUCAAAUCCGUAGGCUAAGGAACAAAGAAGUUCCUUUGGUUAAAGUGCUUUGGAGAAAUCAAUCUAUUGAGAGUGAUACUUAGGAAGCCGAAGCUGAAAUGUGAGCCAAGUACCCUCACCUCUUUUCUGUGAGUUCAGAGCGAGCAGAAGGUACCAUUCUUUCUUAAUUCUGCCCCUUUCUUAUUAUAGAUUCAGUUGUGUGUCUACUUCCAUCACGAAUUCGUGCAUUUUGUAUGGUAUCACAAGGUAUAGAGUGAAGUAAGCCCUUUGAGUGAUUCGUUCCAGCUAUAUGUCCUCAUUUUCUCUUGUUCUUAGCAUAUUUGGCAACAUUCCAGGACAAAUAUUUCCAAGGGGGAGAUAUUAUAAUACCCCGAGACUCUAACCAAUAGUGCAACCAUUAAUCAAGCUCAUGAGAAAUAAAUUAUAGUGCUUUAGCUGUUUUCUGAUCAAGGGUGAUGUGUAUUAUGGCCUCAAAGAUGUCCUAGUGAUUAGGUGAAUCAAAACAUCCCUUACCGAUUGAAUUCUUGAGAAGGAUUUUGUCAUAUCCAACUUUAAAAGAGCAUAUCUCUUUCUACCCUAACAAUUUUUGAGCUCAUGACCCACCAACAGAUAGAUAAUUGAAUUAGCUUUCCAACAAUACUAAUUUCACCCAAAUCCGAUAGCGGGAUAAAGAGUUAUGCCCAUUUUACUCCAGCAUGUCAGCCUAGAAAUUUCAUGACGAUAUUUUGUGACGACUUGUCACAAGCCUAACAGUCAAUAUGAGUGAUCUGUUGGACCAGUUAUCAACGGCCAAUAUUUUUUAGAUUUCUUCCGACAUAGGGUCGUCUAUCGCGGCAGAUGAAUGAUCAGUUAAAAAAAUCAAGUCUUUGACAGUUCCUGUUGGAAUGGUUGAUAGGAUUUUAUCUGGUUCAUCUUCUGCAUCGGUUCUUUAAUCAGAUGGUUCUUUUGUUGCACCAGAUGGUUAAUUAGUUGCAUCAGAUUUUUUAUCCGAUGCUCAAUCUGUUUCAACAUAUGGUAAAUUUAUUGCAUCAGAUAGUUAAUCUGAUGGUUCCUCUGGUGCAUCAGAUGGUUAAUCUGCUGCAUCAUAUGAUAAAUCUGUUGCAUCAAAUGGUUAAUAUAUUGCACCAGAUGGGUAAUCUGGUGGAGGAAACACAAAAUAGUAGCACGAUUUUGGUCAACAAAAAAACAGCAAUUUCACCAUUUUUACCAAGAACAAGAACAGAAAAAAUCAACCCAAAUUGUUGUUUUGUUUUUAUAAACACAAACAAUAAAAAUCAAGCUUUAAAAAAAUGCAACAAACAACAAAAUAUCAUAAUUCACUUCUAAAAGAGAAUAGAAGAAAUAUCAGAAAUUAGGAUUUUAUGCAGACCGCAUUUUAAAUUAAUGCAAAAAAUAUUGAAAUUGUUAACCAAUACUAUAAGAGAAGUUGGCUCAAGUUCCUCAUUUUCUUCAAAACUAAAAAAGCCAUAAAUUUUUACCUGUGAAAGAAGAAAAGAAAUAAUGAAGAAUUGAAAGCUGUUGUGGCAGGAGAGCAAGGUUGUCACAUCGAUUUAAGGUUGAAGUCAAAAAGAAACUCAAAGCCCAACUAUUUGUAGUCGGAUAUUAAAGUCGUCGAGGAUUAAAAUGAGAAAUUUACAGAAUAGUUGGUUGGGAGAGAGUUGAGAGAAGAUGCCAAAGAGAAAUGAGAGAUAGGUUGAUUUGAAUUGAAGAGGGGAACUCGAAGCCUAACUAUUUGUCGCCGGAGGUAGAAGUCGCCGGGGGUUGAAGGGAGAAAAGAGGGGAACUCAAAGCCCAACUAUUUGUCACUGAAGGUAGAAGUCAUCGAAGGUUGAAGAGAGAAAUUUUAUAGAACUGUCGGUUGGGAGAGAGUUGAGAGAAGUGUCAAGAGAGAAGAGAGAGUGGUUGAUUUGGAUUGAAGAGGGGUGUGGGUUGGGUUGAUUUGUAUUUUUAAAAAGAUUAGAUAGUUUUGAAAAUAUUAAUCAAUUCUAUAAUUAAUUUAAUCAAGUUUCGUAAUGAUGUUUGACCCUAUCUGUUGGUCAAUGUCAUCAAUCCUUCGUUCAAAACUUAAAAACAUAUUUCCUUUAAUUUUCCCAAGUCUCUAACAAGGGCAGCUCGGUGCACUAAAGCUACCGCUAUGCACGAUGUUCGGGGAAGGACCCCAUCAUAAGAAUGUAUCGUACGUAGCCUUACCUUGCAUUUCUGCUAGAGGUUGUUUCUAAGGCUUGAACCCGUGACCUACUGGUCAUAUGGAGGCAACUUUACUAGUUACUCCAAGCUCCCCUUCCUCAAGUCUCUAGCUACUUAGUUUUAAAUUCAUCCUCAACAACUUCAAUCUCCAAAUUUCAUUUAAUCUCACCCCAUAAUAACUGUGAAUUCUGAUUCCUUAAAAAACCAAACAAACAAGCUUAGGGUUUUCCUGAUAAGAGUAUGAAGAGCUAGAAUUUGGACCUAUUUGACCCGAGAACGGCGGUAAUGGACCCGGAUUACUCCCCAACCUGUACCAGGGAACUUGAUUUUGCCUUCGCCUUCAACAAUAGCAACUUCUAGGACUGUGUUUGUUGGACCAAGAUCUUCACUGAUUCAAUUGACGGUGUGUCUGAUUCUAGCUGCUGUAAUAGUAUCGCUAAUUGGGCUCGUAAUCAGAAGCGCCGCCGUGAGAUUUCAAGAAGGAAAAUGGUUAGUGUUUUUAAAUUGGAUUUUUAAGCGUAUGUCUUAGACAAUUUUGUCUUGAAAUUGGAAAAUUGGGAGAUUUUUUAGUUUGUUGGACGAGUCUAAAUCAUAAGAAGAGUUAGGGUUUAUGUUAAAUUGGUUUCGUAGAUUGUGAUUUCAUCUCGAAAUGGGGACAAAAUGAAGAAGAAAAGGAGAAAUUUUUGGUAUAGUUGAAUACACUAGGUGUGUGUAAGCUGGUCCUGACAUCACUAUUUUUUUUUUUAAAUUGAGAUUUUUGAUGUUUCAGCCCUUUCCCCGACCCGAGCAUUGCGGGAGCUUUAGUGCACCAGACCGCUCUUUUCUUAAGAGUUGUUUGAUGUUUUUACAUGGAAAGUCACUGAGGGGGUGUGUGACUAUGAUAUCAGUUUGAGUCCUUGUUUAAACACUUAACCUGAGCCCAUUUUACUGUUAGCACGCGUUGGUGGGUUGUUUAUUCCUUGAAAUAGUACUCAUAAGCUGUGGAUUAUUAUAAAUUUUCAACUUUAAACUUUUAAGGGAGAUUUUGAUUUAAUGAAAGGAACAUCAUAUUACAUUGAUAUCUACGUGUUUUAGUGUCUUGUAUUACCUUUUUAUAUUGUGUAGACUCUCCGUUUCGCAUUAAUUGGUGGUUCUUAUUGCUAUUAUAUUUGUAUCCCCUUGUUUUCAAACUGUUUGGCAGGCCUUAUUUUGGCCAGGAUCUAUUGGAAAUAGACUCUGUAUCUCUGCGAGAUGAGGGUAAGGUCUACGUAUACUCUACCCUCCCAGAUCCCAGAUCCCACACUGAGUAUAUUGUUAAUGCUAAAAUAAACUACUGUAAAUUCCCUUUUUGUGGUUUGAAACCGUGGUAGAGUUAAACAUAUCACUUGCUACAUAUUCUUACAAUGUGACUUUAGCUGCUAAUAUUUUUCUUCCAUAAUCGUUUCAUUAGGGGAGGUUGUGUGUCUGGCGGCAAGGGAUAAACAAUAUACAAUUUUUUCCCUUUCUAUAAAUAUUAUGCAUAGUGAUUAGACUUUUGCCCCUUCUUAUGCUGGUAUGGGCUUUCCAGAUGAUAACCAGAGCAAAUAAUUAGCUAUAAUCAAAUUGAUAGUGAAGAUGCUGAUAACGAAAAUCAAGACGAAUCAGUUGUUUCAAUGAUUGAAGAUCCAAACUCAGGAAUUAUUAUAAAUAAAUUACUUUAUUUUUCUUAGGCCCUAUUUCCUUGAGAAUUUUAUGAUUCUUAAAAUUUUCUUAUACUUUCUUGAAUUCAGUAUGUCUUCAACAUGCUAUUUGGAUAAAUUUUCAAAAGCAGAAAGGGUGUAUAAUGUGAAACAUGAUUGCAAUUUCAUGAUAUAUAAAAGGGUGAGUGAAGGCUAACCUCUCAACAAAUAUCACCUAAAAUAGCUUUUUUGCCUCAUUUGUCAUGGAUCAGUGUGACUUUUAAUGUAGAAAGCUAAAAUGGACUUUUGUGCCGAUCAUGUAUUACCAUUUAUAUUAUGCUAAGGAUUCCAAUUAGAGGGAAUUUAUGCAAUAGAUUUUAAAUCAUUUGUUCCGGACUGCAUAAGGAAAUCAGAUUGCUCAUACGCCAAAAUUCAGUUAUUUGAGUUGUAUGUUAUAACUAUUUUGGGCAUAUAUGUGUUGGAUAUAACUUCUAGCGGUUAUCCUCUCAUAGUGGAAUAAAUAUGUGGUGAAAGUACUUUCGGAGAUUAAAUUAGUGAAUAUUCUAUAAUCUAGACGAGAAAUGUCAUUUCUAGUUACUAUUGAUGUUGGAGCAGACCAUAUGGAGUGCGAUGAAUCCAUUAUAUAAGAAUAAGGGGGACAUACAGAGUUGCAACAACUAUAGGAGUAUCAAGUUUUUUUCAUGCUACGAAGGUUUGGGAAAUGGUGGUAGUGUUGAGGCUGGGGAGGAUCAUGACAAUUUCUGAGAAUCGGUUCGAUUUCAUGUCAGGUCGCUCGACAACCUAGGCCAUUCACCUCGCGAAAAGACUAGUGGGGUAGUAUAGGGAGAGGAAGGACUUGCGUAUGGUGUUCAUCGAUCUUGAGAAGGUGUACAACAAAGUACCUAGAGAGGUUCUGUGAAGG